rnacentral:lncRNA from 1 species
CCAGUUUACAAGUCUCCACCACCUCCUAAGAAAUCACACUACCCUCCACACACACCAGUCUACAAGUCUCCUCCACCACACCACCACCAUCCCGUUUACAAGUCUCCACCACCGCCAACUCCUGUUUACAAGUCGCCACCCCCACCCAAGAAGCCACAUUACCCUCCACACACUCCAGUUUAUAAGUCACCACCACCACCAACUCCUGUUUACAAGUCACCACCCCCACCCAAGAAGCCACACUACCCUCCACACACCCCAGUUUAUAAGUCACCACCACCACCAACUCCAGUUUAUAAGUCUCCACCACCACCCAAAGAGCCACACUAUCCUCCACACACCCCAGUGUACAAGUCACCACCACCACCGGUGAAGCCAUACCAUCCUGCACCAACACCAUACCAUCCUGCACCAGUAUACAAGUCUCCACCACCACCAACUCCCGUUUACAAGUCACCACCACCACCAGUGAAGCCAUACCAUCCUGCACCAGUAUACAAGUCUCCACCACCACCAACUCCCGUUUACAAGUCACCACCACCACCAGUGAAGCCAUACCAUCCUGCACCAGUAUACAAGUCUCCACCACCACCAACUCCCGUUUACAAGUCACCACCACCACCAGUGAAGCCAUACCAUCCUGCACCAGUAUACAAGUCUCCACCACCACCAACUCCCGUUUACAAGUCACCACCACCACCAGUGAAGCCAUACCAUCCUGCACCAGUAUACAAGUCUCCACCACCACCAACUCCCGUUUACAAGUCACCACCACCACCAGUGAAGCCAUACCAUCCUGCACCAGUAUACAAGUCUCCACCACCACCAACUCCCGUUUACAAGUCACCACCACCACCAGUGAAGCCAUACCAUCCUGCACCAGUAUACAAGUCUCCACCACCACCAACUCCCGUUUACAAGUCACCACCACCACCAGUGAAGCCAUACCAUCCUGCACCAGUAUACAAGUCUCCACCACCACCAACUCCCGUUUACAAGUCACCACCACCACCAGUGAAGCCAUACCAUCCUGCACCAGUAUACAAGUCUCCACCACCACCAACUCCCGUUUACAAGUCACCACCACCACCAGUGAAGCCAUACCAUCCUGCACCAGUAUACAAGUCUCCACCACCACCAACUCCCGUUUACAAGUCACCACCACCACCAGUGAAGCCAUACCAUCCUGCACCAGUAUACAAGUCUCCACCACCACCAACUCCCGUUUACAAGUCACCACCACCACCAGUGAAGCCAUACCAUCCUGCACCAGUAUACAAGUCUCCACCACCACCAACUCCCGUUUACAAGUCACCACCACCACCAGUGAAGCCAUACCAUCCUGCACCAGUAUACAAGUCUCCACCACCACCAACUCCCGUUUACAAGUCACCACCACCACCAGUGAAGCCAUACCAUCCUGCACCAGUAUACAAGUCUCCACCACCACCAACUCCCGUUUACAAGUCACCACCACCACCAGUGAAGCCAUACCAUCCUGCACCAGUAUACAAGUCUCCACCACCACCAACUCCCGUUUACAAGUCACCACCACCACCAGUGAAGCCAUACCAUCCUGCACCAGUAUACAAGUCUCCACCACCACCAACUCCCGUUUACAAGUCACCACCACCACCAGUGAAGCCAUACCAUCCUGCACCAGUAUACAAGUCUCCACCACCACCAACUCCCGUUUACAAGUCACCACCACCACCAGUGAAGCCAUACCAUCCUGCACCAGUAUACAAGUCUCCACCACCACCAACUCCCGUUUACAAGUCACCACCACCACCAGUGAAGCCAUACCAUCCUGCACCAGUAUACAAGUCUCCACCACCACCAACUCCCGUUUACAAGUCACCACCACCACCAGUGAAGCCAUACCAUCCUGCACCAGUAUACAAGUCUCCACCACCACCAACUCCCGUUUACAAGUCACCACCACCACCAGUGAAGCCAUACCAUCCUGCACCAGUAUACAAGUCUCCACCACCACCAACUCCCGUUUACAAGUCACCACCACCACCAGUGAAGCCAUACCAUCCUGCACCAGUAUACAAGUCUCCACCACCCCCAACUCCCAUUUACAAGUCACCACCACCACCAACUCCUGUUUACAAGUCACCACCACCACCGGUGAAGCCAUACCAUCCUGCACCUACACCAUACCAUCCUGCACCAGUAUACAAGUCUCCACCACCACCCGUGAAGCCAUACCACCCUGCACCGACACCAUACCAUCCUACUCCAGUAUACAAGUCCCCACCACCACCAACUCCAGUUUACAAGUCACCACCACCACCAGUGAAGCCGUACCAUCCUUCACCAACACCAUACCAUCCUACACCAGUCCACAAGUCUCCACCACCACCCCACUAUGUUUACUCCUCCCCCCCUCCUCCCCGCCAUUACUAAGAAGCGACUUCAUUAUAUUUGAGGUAAUUAAGAUAAACUUAAACUUUAAAAAAUUAUAUGACUAAAAUGCAAUGCCAUAAUAAGUUGCACAAUCUCUUUAUGCAAAACAUUAAUAUAAAGACAUGUUGUCUACUUAUUUGGUUAGCUUUCUACUAUUUGUUCUCAUCAACAAUAUUAUAUCCUUAUGCAGGAAAAGAAGAAUGUUGAAGUGAAAGAAAGGCAUUUUCCAUUUUGGGGAUGCAAUGGAAAAAGAAGAAAAAAUAGAGUAAAUAAUAAGCUCCACAGGAGACGAAGUUCUUUUGUAGCUUCAUGUUAUCUAAGUUAGGGAUAUUGUUUGCACUCUAUAUUUAUAUUUUACUUUUAUUGCCUUUGUGUAUGCUUGCUCAGUUUCAAUCUCCUUGCAAAAUGCAGAGAUUAUGAGAUGAAUAAAAUAAGUUAUUACUACUACUAUAUGCUUUAUGUUUGACCUUCUCUCUACUCUUUUUUAUUUUAUUUUCUCCUUUUUUUCAUUUCAUUUUCUUUAUAUCAAAGUUUUAUCGUUUAGGAGAGGGCCAGGGAAAAUUAAAGAUCCAAAAUUAAUUAAUAAAUUUGAUUUCAUGUUUGAGAUAAAUUAGUUGAGUCGGAUGACUUUGCUAGUUUGUAGAAAAUUCGAGGCAUAAAUCACAUUUUAAAAAAGUACAUCCAAAUUUUAGAUUUUCUUUGCAAAAAGUAUAGCCAAAUAUAACUAAGUUCAAUUUCAACUUUAAAAUUUUUAAAUAAAUUUUCAUGAGCAAACAUCCCCUCUAUUGAAUCUGCAACAAAUAUGAGGCAAAAAAAUAAAAAAUAAAAAAUCUACAGCGAUAACAACCAAAAGGAAGAAGAUUAGAGUGAAAUAUGAAGAAUCGAGAAUCCACAAUCAAAUAAGCGCAGACCUUAUUUUUGUUAUCUUUGUUCAAGAAUCACAUCUCUUGAGUUAUCUUUCUUAGUUACUUUCAAGAUAUCAAGCACAUACUAGACUAUAUAUGCCUUAUAGAAAAAGAUGAAAAUUGUACAAGUUGUCCAAUAUUUUCUAGUUCUUUGUUCUAUUCUUAAUAAGCAUUGUAAUUUUCUAUUUGACAUAGUCCAAAUCAACUUUCCUCAACUUUUAAAUUAUAAAGUAAUCAAAUUCAACGUUCAAGGCUCGAGCCAUUUUACCGCUAGGCCAUUGAUACGUAUUGAUUAAAGAUUAUUAUAUAUGUUUUUGAAGAAAAAAUUAGAAAAAAAGAAUUGCCUCUCGAGGUUGAUUUCUUGUAUUUUUUUUUGUCUGUGAAAGAACCAACCUAGGGAGAUCACUUUUCAAAUUUUUUUCAUUUUAAAAAAUCAACCUCGUGAGGUUAGUUCGCAUUUUUGUGAUUUUUGGGCUAAAAAAUAGGGGUGGGCAUUCGAUAUUUGGUUCAGAAUUUUUAAAUUUCGAGUUUGAUAACUCGAUAAUUGGUAAUUAAAGGUAGAUAUCAAAUAUCAAAUUUCUAAUUUUCGGUUUAAUAAUUUGGUAAUCGAUAAAUCAAACUUUGGUUCGGUAUGGUAUUCGAUAAUACCAUAUUGAAAUUUAAGCCAAUUUUUUUACAAAGUUAAUACUAUUGCUCCAAUUACAUCUAUUUUUGUUUGUGAAGACAUGAUAUGAUAGAAGAUCAAUGAGAAAAAAUAAAUAAAUCAAGAAAAGUAAAUUGAGACAACUAACGACAUAUUAUUUGGAUUAUUUAUAUUUAUUCUUUAAAUUUCUCUUUGGACAUGUAUUAAUGUAACAACUCAUCUUGAUCUUGAGAUGAGAAGUCCCACAUCGACGGCAAAACACAAAAGAGAUGUUGAAUAUAUAAGUAAAUGACUGGUCUAUAUAUUGUGAGGCGCCUUUUGGGGUGAGCCCAAAGGGACAAAUCCGUGAUAGACUAGGCCCAAGAGCGGACAAUUCUUCAUAGUGUUGGGCCAGGUCGUUACAGGUGGUAUUAGAGUCACUCUUAUGUCGGCCUUGUCGAUGUGGUUCAGAGUUCAAUUGAGUUUAGGCAAUCCCGGUGAGGCGAGGCAAACCUCAGUGCUGAAUCUAGGUGAAUCCCAUACCUUGGGGCAAACCUCAACAAGGACGCUGAGUCCAUAGAGGGGAUGUAUGUAAUAACCCAUCUUGAGAUGAGAAGUCCCACAUCGACAAAACACAAGAGAGAUGCUGGAUAUAUAAGUAAAUGACUGAUCUAUAUUCUGUGAGACACCUUUUGGGGCUAGCAAAAUCAUUAUAAUUAAUGAGUGAUGCACAUGUUGAUAUACAACAAUAACUCAUUCCUUUGGAGUAAAAUCAAUGUUAGGACAUGCUAGCCUCACUAAUUGUAAUAAAUUACUCACCAAGAACUUAAUCAUUGACUUGUCUAUAACCAAGUUUAAAAAUGAUAAAAUUUGUGAUGCUAGCUUGUUCAAUAGGAACAUAUUAUUAACUCCGUAAAUUAGGAAAAUAUUGUUACUCCAUAGGGUGUGUUUGAUAUGGAGAAAAAUAUUUUUCAAUUUUUUCAUAUUUGAUUAGGUUAAAUAUUUUUCAAAUCAACUUAUUUUUCUCAAUUUAAAAAAAAAUAACUUUAAAAAACUAGGGAAAAUAUUUUCUAAAACUCUUCCCAAUUCCAAAUUAAUCCCCCCCUCCCCCCAAAAGAAAUAAUUUUUUUUAAAAAUAAAAUUAAAAGUUUAUUUUUGAAAAAUAUUCUACAUUUUAAAUUUUUUAUUUUUUUACUCCUUCCCUACCGAACUAGCCCCCCGCCCCACAAAAAAGAUUUAAUUUUUAAAACUAUUUUAAAUUUUAAAAAUUUUAUUUGUUUACUCCAUCCGUAUCCCUACCUCUUAUGAGCUCCCCACUCCACUCCUAAAUCUCUAAAAAAAAUAUAUUUUUAAAAAUAUUUUAAAUUAUGAAAUAUUUUCAUGUCAGAUAUUAUUUUUCUAAAUAUAUUUUCUACUUUCUAGCUAAAAAUAAAAGAUAUAUUUUUUUAAAUUUUUUUUAUUCGCUAACCAAAAAUAGAACAUAAUAUUAAAAAAAAAUAUUUUUCACUUACCAGCCAAACAUAAAAAAAUAAAUUAAAAAUUAACUUAUUUUCCUAGAAAAUUUUUUUCAUGAAAAACAUUUCCUCCCUGCCAAACUCAACCUUAAAAGGAAAAAAAAAAAGAGUAAACGAAAGAGGAUUAGAAGAUCUCUGACUCGUCUGGACAAAUAUUAUUUGUCUAAUAAGUAUGUCGGUAAGCUAAGAUCUGUACUUGGUUAUGAAUACAUAUCUCUUAGGACGAUUAAAAAUAUAAAUUUUGCUUAACUAAUGGAAUCUUAUAAUUGGAGAUUAGUAAUUUAACCUUUGUCGGUGACUAAUUAUGCUAAUAAUCAAUAAAAAGUCAACUUCGUUUGAUGAAUUAGCAAAUGGAGUCCUCCAUGUAGAUGUUACCAACAGAGUUCAAUUAUUGAAUAGUAUUCGUUUUUACUUUAAAAAUUAAAGUGAAAUUCAAUUUCUUUAUGUAAGUGUAUGACAACUUGGCAGUAAUUCAUUGAAUUCCAGGAAGAACAAAAACCAAUCACAUUUUAGAUUAAUUUACGUGUGGAAAUGAAAGAAAAUAGCAAUUACAAUCAUCAUUAUAGAAAUUCUAGUUAUGAGGACAAUAUUCUUUUAAACAGAAUUUUUAAAAAUUUUUGAAUGAUUUUUCCAUCGAUAAAAGUAUUGUAUCACUUUGAUCAAUAGAACAACAGAAGGACCUAACACAAUUCAAUUCCAGAUCUAAUAACAAUAAAAUCAUUAAAACGAAAGUUUCUUUCAAAAAAUCUCCAUGAUAAAAUAGGACAUUGUAAGAAGGUAGAUAUGCUUGCUAAAUCUUCUUAAACAAAAAAAAAAACAAGAGAAAGUUUAUAGUAUAAAGAUUCAGAUGAGAGGUCAAAAGAUAAUCCUUAAAUAUGGUAGCUAGCCUAUAAGUACAAAUUGUACAACUAACUGGACUUAAAGAGCAGGAACUAGCUGGAUCUAAAGUGCAUGCAACUAUCUGCACAUUAUCUACAAAAAAAACUAUCCUAAAUAUGCUAAAAAAAUAAGGAGACUUAUUCAACCUAUAAUAACUAAUAACAAAAAGCUAAGUAAAUAAAGAUAGUUAAUACACCCUCUCAAGUUAGGCAAGGUAUAACAAUGCCUUAUUUGGAACGACACCUAGUAAAGGCUGAUCUAGGCAGUGGCUUGGUGAAGAUAUCAACAAGUUGAUUACAAGAACGAGUAUGUGUACCAUGAACUCGAUGAGCUUGAACUUGAUCACAAACAUAUGCAAAUCUACAGCAAUAUGUUUCAUACGGGUAUGGAACAUUAAAUUGUGAGAUAAAUAAGUAACUUUAACAUUGUCAUGGUAGAUUGUUGGCGUAUUCGAGAUGGUGACAUGUAACUCAGGAAGUAAGUUGCUCACUCACGUAAUCUAUACGAGUGCAUUGGCAACUAAUUUAUACUCUACCCCAGUACACGAGCUAUCCGCAUAUUUUGUUCUUUUAAUUUUUUUUUCUUUUUUUUAAUCUGUAUAAUUGAAUAUUAACUUUCCAAUUCCUUUGGGGGCCAGUUUGAUUUUAUAUUAAUGAAAUUUGGAUUAAUUUAUAUUUUUAUUUUUACUUUUCUUAAAGAAUUUUUAGAGAAACAUAUUGGAGAGGGGCAUCAUAUUAAUUUGUUUGGUUGUUUUAUCAUGGAAUUACAUAAUCUGGGGAAUUUCCCAUAUUCACUUUUGGUACAAUAAUAAAAAUUUAUGAUAUAAAUAUUCUUAGAAUGACUUAUAUCGAAAAAUAGAAGUUUCAAUCAAAUGAUAAAAUAAUAUAUUUUACCUCAAAAUUAUUAUUCUUAUUUUUAAUAUCAAUUAAUGAUCCUAUGGUACCGUUUGAUCACAAAUAUUUUUGACAAAAAGAAUUGAGAAAAGGUUUGAAUGAUGGUGUUUGUCCAUAUAUGAUAAAUAUAUUUGGCAACAUCCCAAAUUUUCAAAUACUGAAAAAAUUAGUAUUUGAGCCAAGUUCUAAUACUUGAAAAAUAUUUAUUAAAAGUUAUCCCAAACUUUUAUAUUUUAUAAAAAAAUUCAGCAUUUAUUUAUUCCAAAUAAUAUUUAUGUAAUUCCUCCGAAACAGUUUGUCACGCCCCAAGAGGGUACCCUUGACGUGACUGACACUCGGAGACUAUUACUAGCCCCCAAGCGGACCACCUAGUCCCAUUGCCUUCGUUCGGUCAAUUCAAUAGCAGAAGAAAAUAAUGUAAUAAUACUAAUACUCAUCUAUCUGUGGGCUCAAUCUAUCAUGGAUGAAAUAAGAUAUCAAACGAAAGUCUUAAUGUCAAGAAAGAAGAGGGAAAGAACCCCCGACAUCAAACAUCAAUAUCUAUAUCUAUGAAGCCUUUAUACUACUGUCUGAGACGGUACCAUGACAGGCCAUGGCUACCAAGAAUCAUGUAAAAGACUAUAAAGCAAAGAAACUAAACAUCCUCCGAAUGUAGGGGAGGACUCACCACUAUCUGGAAUCCGAAAAGCUCUGAACCUCAAUAAUUUGGCUGCUGAAGUCCUCGGUCUAUCGAAUUUGCAUCAUAAAAGGAUGCAGCACCAAAGGAGCAUUAGUACGUGGGAUGUACCGUAUGUAAAAUAGGCUAAAAGUAAGCGAGGUAAGCAGGGUACGUGGAAACAUCAAUUCAUUAAUUGUUCAUCUCAUCUCGGAAUAAGAAGUAGAUACCAUUUCAUUCAACAUUCAUUAAGAGCCAUGCACUCACAUCAACAAAAGAGUACUGUCAAGAGGAAAUCCUAAAUGGGAGUUUCUCGGGCCUACACCCAUCACCUAUGAGCCAGUGAUAGUACAACAAAGCGAUGUCGUUGCGGCAUCCGCCCAGUACCUUGUCGAGGUAGAAGGCGUACAUUAAUGGAUCCAAUUUUGGUAUGAGUGAGAGUGGGACUCACUCUUACCCAUUUCGGUACUCGAUACUUCUCCCAUAGACUCAACAUGCUCAUAAACGCCAAUAUCCAUCCUUUGUCACCAUUUAGUCUCUUUCAGACUAAGACAUUAACUCAUUAUUCAUUCGUUAACUCAUUAUUCCUUCAUUAACUCAUUACUCAUUCAUUAUUCAUUCAAUUCAAGACCCGGACUACACCUACAAAUACAAUUAUGUGAUUAAGACUCUAGACAAAAUCCCUAUGUUCGUUCUUGUGGCAUUAAACAAGGGAAACAUGCAAUUUAAGUAAACAAUCAUAUAAUAAUGCAUAUAAUCAAUAGAUACAAGUAUGAUGAUCAUCAAUUUGAUAUAGUAUAUAUAAAUUAAAGAUAAUAUGCAAGAAAUAAAGAUUAUGUUCAAGAAAUCCUUCAAGAAUUACUACUCAAGACCUUCAACCAUCAAUUUAAAACUUAAUCUACACAUCGGGGCACAUGGAAGAACAAUUUCAUGUUUUUGGGUAGCCUUUACAUACCUGAGUUGAGGAUUGUACAAAUCUUCACCAAGAACUUGAACCCGAACACUCAAUCCUUAGGCCCUUCCUUGCUUGCUCCCUCAAAACUUACGCUUAAAACUUCUGAGAAUAUGGGUUUUUGAAACCCUUGUAUACGAAAUAGCUCUUAAAAGAAUGUUUUAGGGUAUUAAAAUGGGUUGAAAAAUAGCCAAAAUACCCUUCCCAAAUUUAAAAGAAAAUUCGCCACCAAAUUUACACUGGUCCGCGUAGCUUCAGUGUAUUUUCAAAAAUUUAACCUUCGUCAAAAAUUAAAGGAAAAACAUAAUUGUGGGUCCGCGAUGGGUUCGCGUCGUUGGCCUGUCGCGUACCCUCACUGUUUUGGGUCCACGAUGGAUCCGCGUCGUGACCCUGUGGCGUACCCUCACUGUUUUUUGGCCAACUUGAGAAAAUUAAUUUUUGACCUGGUCACUCUUAAAUCGAGUUGAUACCAUUUUCUCACUCGAUUUUUUGAGCUGAUUGCAAAUCCGGUCUCGGAUUUUCCAUCAGAGCUUUGGAAGACGCGUUGUGCGGAUGAUGUAUUUUAGGGGCAUUUUAGUAAUCUUACGAGGUGUUACACGAUUUGAAUUAUAAUUUGAGUGACAAGACCGAGAAAAAAGAACAAUUUGCUUUUAAUGGACUAUAAUUCCUACUAACUCAGUGAUAAGUUCGAAUAAACGAUUAAUAUAUUGAUCUUGUCCAUAUUGUUAUUUUAUUGUUGAUUGUUAUCGAUUAUAUUACAAAACUAUUUUUUAACGAACAUGUUUAUAAUAGAAUGAUAAAACAAACAUAGGAGUAUUUUAAAUUAUUUUUAAACUUCCUAGUAUAAAUCAUAUUUUUUGAAAUAAUCAAGUAUUCGUAAAAAAAAUAAUAUGGCUUCACCAAAACUUUACUCAAACAUAAAAAUAUGGGGCUUCACCAAACCUUCACUCAAACAUAAUUUAUGAAAAAUAUUUGAGAAUUUGAAGCCAAACCCUACCUAGACUUUAAUUCACUCUUCCCGGUCCUUUUCUUUUGAUCUUUUCACAUACCAAUUACAUUAACAUUAACCAUAAAGGCUAUUUGACUAAAUAACUCCCACUUUUUCUUUCUUAAAUGUGUAAUCGACAUUGACUAUAUUACCUAUUGAAAUAAUAUGAAAUUGGAAAAGAAAAGAGUUAAUAUAUAGUUAAAUGCUCCUUUAAUUUAAAUUUGAUGCACUUUAUUAAAUGUAUACUUAAAUUAUGACAAGUUUUAAUUAUCCCCUCAAACAUGGAGUUUUGGAAUUACUUAACUAUAGGAAGUCUUAAAUAUCCCCUUAAAUAUGUGAUUUAUAGUCUCACAAAUAUUGUUGAGUCAUUUAGGUCAGAUCUCUUUUCUAAAUUUUAUGUCAAAUCAAACUACAUCAUAUAAAUAGGAACAAAGAUUAUAUCAUUUUACAUUAUUAGAUGUCAAUGUGAAAUAACUAUAUGAGGUGAAGAUAAAUAAUAAAGUACAACAAAUAAUUUUCGUUUUUAUUUAUAUAAUGUAGUUUAACUUGACACCAACUUUAAGAAAGAUGUAAUCCAAAAUAAGUCAUAUACAUGCAAUUUGAUGUCUUGAGCAUGAUUAAAAUGUUGAUAACCUUUUUUAAAUGACGAAACAGUUUGAAGCGUUAAAACUAGAUUUCAAUAACUUGAUUUGCUAUAGUACUUCAUGGAUAAAGUUAUUAUAUGUUGGGAGUUGUGAUUAUUUGAAGUUAUAAGAUAUAUGCUACUCCUUUCGUUUACUUUUACUUGUUACUAUUGUUAAGUGAUGUUGUAUUGGUUUUACAACUAGUAUUGUGUGACUAGUUAGUUGAAGUUAGUCAGAGGACUUAACUAAUUCUGUUAGGAGCUAGUUACUUUUAUUGUUAAGUAAAUUGAGGAUGUUCUAUAUAAGCAUCUCUAGAUUGUAAUUGUAAGUUAGAAAAAUCAAUACAAUCUUCUCUUCUUCUCUUCAAUAAUGUGAUCAGUAGCCAAACAUAGAAAAACUAAUAUGGUAUCAGAAAAAAGAUCUUAAGGGAUCCGUAGAAGUUUCCGAGUAGAAGAUUGACCUUCAUUGUUGAGGUUGAAGAGGAUGGCAAGUUCAGAAGCAUCACAAGGAGGAAAGUUACAGGUUUCACAGCUAGAUUACACUAAUCCAUUAUUCUUACAACUAUCAGACACUCCAGGAGCUCUGUUGAUUGGGCUGAAGUUGACAGGGCUAGAGAAUUAUACACUAUGGAGUAGGAUACCAUAUCAAUUUUUCUAUGUUUGGCUACUGAUCAUAGAAUUGAAGAGAAGAAGAGUAGAUUGUAUUGAGUUUUCUUCAUAGAUUCAACUUCUUCUUUUUUACUUUUAUUUUCAGCUUUUUCUUUCUUGGAUUUAGAUGUUGAAUCAGCAACAGAAGCACCUUUCUUGGAAGCUGAAUUUGAAAGGCUAGAUUUUGAUAAACUUUUCAAGGACUUAGUAGUGCUACCCUUUUCUGUGGCCUUAGUCUUCUCCUCUGCUUUACUCCCCGAAUCCUUCUUCACACUCUUCCUUGAAUAAAUCUCCUCAUUAGACUUGUUUUUCUUUAGUUUCUCUUCCACGUCCUCUUCCUCUUGUUUCUCACCUUUCUCAGAACUAGUCUCUUCCCGAUCACUUCCUUCUUUAGGAGCUUCAUCAUCAUUCUCAAAGUCAUUUUCGCUAUCUGAUGGUUGUUCAUCAUCAGCUUCUUCUUCCUCAGUUUUGAUGAUUGCUUGCGUUUUACCCUAACUUUAUAUUUUUGAUGCUUUUUGAGCGACUUAUCUGAAGAAUCUGCGGUUUUGCUAGCUUAACUCUUUCUCUUUUGCUUUUUACCCUUCUGUUCCUUAUCAGCAAGCAAGGAACUUGUUGUAGGAUGAGGAGAUUUCAAGAAUUCUAAUAACUUCACUGAGAGCUCAUUCUUCUUUGCAUAAGUCAAUCCAACAACUUUUCCUUAACACACUUGCCCAACUUCUCUUUGAUUUUUCACCUUUGUUUUUCUUAUUUUCAACCCAAACAAAUCCUGAAAACUGUCCUAUGUUUUUCUUCAAACUAUGCACCUUCAAUUUCUUAUCAGAAAGAGUGUUGUGAAGCAUUUGCAGGUUAUCAUCGGAUUUUCUCUUGAAUAGUUUGUAAGCCACAUUUGGUAUAUCCUUCAGCUGAGUGCCACUACCCUUCCUAAUUGACAAAGGCUUAGGCGUGGAACUUCUAGCCUCUGAAGACACAGAUAAGCGCAUCACAGUUUUUCUGUCCCUAGUCAGCCUUGAGAUUGGUGUCAUGGGCUCUUCCGUACUCUCAAAUUUGCUUUUUGCCUUCUUCGCUGGUUCUUCUUCUUUUUCCUCCUCUGAUUUGUCGACUUGCAUUUUGUCAACUUUCUCUUUCUCUUCCUCUGCUUCAGCUAUCACUUUCUCUUGUCCUUUAUACGGAAGAUUCCUUGUCCUUAUCCUUCGCUUCUUGCUUCUCAAUCACCUAUUCUGGUUUCUUGUCAUCUAGGGUUUCCUUCUCGGACGCCAUAGAAGGAGAAGAAUUCUACUACUCCAUAGCUGCAAAAGGAGUAACAAAGCCCUAGGUGGAGAUUUUGGUUUGGGGAAGUUGCAGAUCUAGAGCUAAAAUGUUAAAGAUAAAUGAGACACAACAAUAUCUUUGUAUAGUCUUUCUUAUGGCUAAUUAAAGUAGGCUUAAGUUUCCAACUAGUACUUCUUCUACUUCUAGUUGUUAUGGGGACCAUUUAUAGUACCUAUCUAUGAUAGAAAAUUAUAUUUUGUAACAAUGGUAGAUGACUACAACAGGUACACUUGGGUAUGUUUGAUUACAUCCAACGUGAGGUGGUUGUUGUAUUGAAGGAAUUUUUUUUUGUAUAAAGAGCAGAAUCAAUAUGAUGUUAAUGUCAAAAUCUUAAGAUCUGAUAAUAGAAGAAAAUUCUUCAAUUUAAGUUGUAAUGAAUUGUUUUCUUCAGUAGGUAUCACACACAAGAGUAGUUGUCCAUACUCCUCAAUAAAAUAAAGUUAUGGAGAGAAAGCAGAGACACAUUAUAGAUGUUGCAAUAACUUUAAAAUUUCAAAAUGGUGUUCUACAUAAGUUUUGGGGAGAUUGUGUGAGAACAAUUGUUUAUCUAAUUAAUAAGUUGCCUUCUACUGUGUUGAAUGAGAAGUUUCCAUUUGAAGUUUUACAUGGGAAGCCUGCAGUACUUGAUCAUCUCAGGGUGUUUGUGUUUUGCUAAUAUGUUACCUAGAUGCAGUAAGUUUGAUCCAAGGGUGAGGAAAACUGUUAUGCUUGGUUAUGUAGAAACAAAAAAGGGAUAUAGGUUGUUUGACUUAGAAAUAAAUACAUUCCUUAUAAGUGGGGAUGUGAGUUUCAGAGAAACAAUAUUUCCCUUUAAAGGAGCAAGGAAGGAUCUAGAUGACAUAUUUUAUCCCGUGUCCUCAGAAAUAAUCUAUGAGGGCAAACCUUUGUCUACACUUACUGAAGAACAAGUCAUACAAGAUGUAUGUGAUAGUCACAACUUGAUAGAAAAUGAAAAUGCCACUACAAGAGAGACACCAGAUGACUUAAAAUCAAAGUUCAAUGAAGUAAAUGAUUUAGAUCUAGUGAUUGAUAGAACUGUACUUACUGAAGAAGUUAUUACUCAAGAUGAAAUUAUAGAUUCAGAAGCAAGAAGAAGCAGUAUUAGGACAUCUAGACCCUCCAUUUGGAUGAAAAACUAUAAGCUGAUCAAGAAAAGAGCUAAUCAAAUAUCUUUGUUUCCUAUAUCCAAGUACAUUUCUUAUUCCUAAUUAGCACCUCAUUACUAGUCAUACCUAAGAGCUUUCUUAGCUUCACUAGAGCUUCAAUCAUUUCAGAAAGCAUCCAAUGACAAGAGGUGGAUUCAAGCAAUGAAACAGGAAAUUCAAGCAUUGGAGUAAACGCACACUUAGGACAUAGUGGAUCUUCUAGCAUAUAAGCAAGCUAUAUGGUCUAAAUGGGUGUAUAAGAUCAAGUACAAAUCUAAUGGAGAGAUAGAGAGGUUUAAGGCCAGGUUGGUAACAAAAGAAUAAACCAAAAGGAAGGUUUGGAUUUUCAUGACACUUAAAAUGGUAUCAGUUAGAACUGGGAUCGCUUUAGCUGCUUCUAAGAAUUGGGCUAUAUUUCAAAUGGAUGUCGGUAAUGCUUUCUUGCAAGGAGAUUUGUUUGAGGAUGUAUAUAUGAAGAUGCCUCAAGGUUUUUGUAAGAAGGGAGAAAACAAAGUAUGCAAGUUGGUCAAGUCCUUAUAUAGACUGAAGCAAGCUUCAAGGCGGUGGAACAUGAAGUUUAUUGAUGCUUUGGUCACUGUAGAAUACUCACAAAGUAUUUAUGAUCGUAUAUUCACCAAGAAGGAAGAGAUGAGCAUUGUCAUUAUACUUGUUUAUGUGAAUGAUUUAUUGAUUAUAGGAAGUACAUAUGAGCUGAUAGAAAUAGGACAAGAAGAUGUUACAUCAUCACUUCAAAGUUAAGGAUUUAGGUGAUCUAAGGUACUUCCUUGGCAUUGAUGUUAUGAGAUCAGAAAAGGGGAUACUUUUGAAUUAAAGGAAGUUUUGUUUGGAACUGAUAUCAGAAGCAGUACUGAGUGGAUCCAAACCUGCUUCUACACCACCGGAAAUAAACCAUAAGCUCACAAUUGUUAAGUAUGAUACUCAUGUGGGAAACAAGGAUGAUCCUGAGCUGGAUGACCUAGUUGACUAUCAAAAGUUGAUUGGGAAGUCGAUAUACCUCACCAUAACAAGACCUGAUAUAUGUUUUGCAGUGCAAGUCUUGAGUCAGUUUAUGCAAAGGCCUAAAAAAUCUCAUAAGGACGCAACUACGAGGGUAGUGAAGUACUUAAAGGGAUCACCAGGACUUGGAUUGUUUUCUCCAUCCAACUCAAUGCAAAAAGUAACUGUAUACUGUGAUUCUAAUUGGGAAGCUUGUCCAAAUACCAAAAGAUUAGUGACUGACUAUGUGGUAAAACUAGGGGAUGCUCUUUUGUCUUGAAAAUCAAAGAAGAAGUAGACAGUAAGCAGAAGCUCAACAGAGGCUGAAUACAGAAACAUGGCUGUAGUAAUUACAGAAUCGACUUGGAUUUGUGGUUUACUGCCAGAGGUGAAUUGUAAGGUGUUCAAGUCUGUUAUCCUAUAUUGUGACAAUCAGGUAGCCAUACAAAUAGCCUUUAAUCUAAUAUUUUACGAGAGAAUAAAGCACAUUGAGAUUGAUUGUCAUUUUGUUAGAGAAAAGGUGAAGAAUGGUCUGAUCAAACCACAAUUCAUUCCAAUAGGUUCUCAACUUGCAGAUGUCCUGGCCAAGAGUCUAAGCAUAAAUCAUCAUCAACUAUUGAUCUCUAAUCUUGGUCUGUUCAAUGUGUUUUCUCACACACUAGCUUAAGGGGGAGUGUUAAGUGAUGCUGAAUUGGUUUAACAAUUAGUAUUGUAUGACUAGUUAGUUCGGAGUUAGUUAGAGGACUUAACUAAUUCUGUUAGGAGUUAGUUACUUUUCUUGUUAAGCAAGUUGAGGAUGCUCUAUAUAAGCAUCUCUAGAUUGUAAUUUUAUUAAGUUAGAAAAAUCAAUAAAAUUUACUCUUCUUCUCUUUAAUUCUGUGAUCAGUCGCCAAACAUAUAAAAACUAAUAACUAUUUUAUUUAUUGAGGACAAACUAUAUGAACGUUUUAAGAUGUAUUUUUUAAUCAUAUUUGUCACGAUCCAAGCCUAGGGCCUAAAUGUGGCAUGGCAAAUGGGAAGUCCAAAAACCUCCCAAAUAAGCCUCUUAGCAUAUCAUGUACAUAUCUUUAGUUACGGAAGCAAAAUAAAACAAUAAUAAGAGUCAAUUAUAAAAAAGGAAACGGUACUAAGAAAAUUCUUUCAUAAUCAUAAAACAUAAGAAGAGUCAAGCUCAUAAGCAUAUACAAUCAUAGUAUCCAACAACACCUCUACUAGAAAAUGGAGUGGGGGCCAAGACACUUUCCGAGCUCAUCCUCAUAGAUAAAUAGCCAAAAUGUACAUAAUAAAGUCUUAACAAGCAUGAAGGAAAAGUAGAUAUUGUCCUCGGAGUUGAGGACUCACCAAAGCUUUCUUCAAAUGAAUCGAACUAGCCACGUGGAGGAGGAUGAUCAAUAAGAGCUCUGGUCCUUACAUGGUGAUAUUAUGUAAGCAUAGAGUAUGUGUUAGUACUUGGAAUAUACUAAGUAUACGGGAUGCAAUGCAACAAAGACAUAAGUCAUAAUAUUCAAAAUGUAUAAAUAUAGACAAUGGAUAUAAUCUCAAUAUGACAUAAAUGAUCAAUACUUGUAAUAAAACAUGCAUGUAAAAUAUUCAACUUGUAUAAUGUAACAUACGUAUGUGGGAGGAGACCUUAACUGACAUAUAAGGCCAAACGAGCUACUACUUGAAAUUUUGAAGCAUGAUACCCCCUCAAAAAAAUGUGGUCUACUUGCCAAGGUAAACCAUGUUUGGCCCCACUUGAGGGAAAACAUGAACUAGAUGGAUCCACUAGUGAUCUCUUUAAGGGAAAAUUAAUCCUAUAGUGGCAUAUAGUUUAGAGACUAAAGUCUUUAUAUAAGGACCCCUUGAGUCGAGCCCCCACCUUAAGCCUCAAUCAGUGCUAAGUCUAAUCCACGAAAUACUUGAAAUAGUCAUAACUUUAAUCAUAACAUGCAUAACUUGUAAGAAACAUGAUAACAUGACAUGAGUAGCUCAUUCACAUGCUUGACCUCUACUAGUGAGCUUAACUUGAACAUGAGAGUAAAAUAGUAAUCAUGCUUGAUCCUUCAACUUGACAUGAAUGGCUCACAAGAGGGUAAAAUCUUGAAAUAGGACUCAACUUGUCACUUGCACAAAUCAUCUUUCGUGAAUUAAAUACAUGCUUGGGAGCCCAUAAUUAUCUUGAAAUACUUGACUUGAAAAAUGUGCAAUAGUUCAUCAACAACUUAAGAAGCCUUGUCAUGUAAUUUAGUCAAACACAUGGUGGGUAUAUGGACACUCCAAAAUAAGCAAUUUAUAGAGUAAUAACAUAAGAGAGUAAAGUCAACCGUUUUAAGAUCAUGCAAAUCAACCUACAAAUUGUAGUAGUAAAACCCUUAAUUUGGGUAUCAUGAAAUUCAUCUCAAAAGUUCACAAUAGUUCAUAGUUUUCAUAACUCAUAUUAUGCAUAGUCUCAAUAGACAUAAAUCAACAAUUGAAAUAAGCUUAAAAUGAAUGUUCAUGCAUAAUCUAUCAAUGCUUGAUAAAACUCAACAUAUCUCAUAUUUAUAAUGCAUAAUAACAAAUACCCAUGAAGAAUCAAACCUUGAAAUCAUGAAAUUUUAUAAAAGGGAGAGUUGGGCUCCAUGGGUGAAAGCACCCAUGUGUGAAAGGACUGCAUAUCUUAAACCUUGAACUUCUUGAAAUUGAAUUGGGGAAGACUUGAAGCUUGUAAUGCGUUCUUAAAUUUCAAAACUUGUCCUUAAAAUCCUUGAAUUUGAAUGGGGAUUUGAUGGUGUUUUUGGAGAGGUUUAGAGAGGAUUUUGCGAGUUCUAGAGUUGAAAAAUGACUAAGUAUGGAGAAUUUCACGUUUAAAUAGGCAUUGGUUUAUUACCCCCAAUGCCCUUGGAUGGAACAAGCAAACGGGGCACAAAAUGAGCAUAUCUGCGCCUAGGCCGCGUUGCGCCUGGGGUGCGGAUGCACAUCAUUGCAAAAAUUAUUUUUUUCGCAAUAGGUCUUCUAAAAUCUGGGGGUUACUCUUUUCCCACUCAAUUUUACCCUUGAACAAGAAUAUAAAGUCGGAUUUCCAAAAUCACGCACGAUUUUUGAGAUGUUUGAAAAAAAUACACUUAUGGGGCUUUCCAAAGCACACGAGGGGUGUUUCAACAUUGAGAUGAGAAGGAUUGCAACUUAUAGUAUUUUUCGUAUAGUUCUCAACCAUCUAAAGUAAAUUUUAAAUAUUAAAUUUAGGUUUGAAAUUUAGUCAAAUUGACUUCGAAAAAUGAAACAAUAACAAGUAAAAAUAAAAAGAGGGAGUAUUAAAGUUUCCUUCCUCCCUUAAACAUCAAUUCCCUGAUUCUGUAACGAUUGUAUAGUACUCAAAUAUAUAUGGUUCUUACUAUUUUGCUUUUGGAUACCUUUGUCUAUUGCUUGAAUAUGAUGAUAAACAUAGAUAAUUAACAUUCAAUAAUGUAAUAUUUUCUCCGUAUUAAUUUAUAUGAUAUAUUUUUAUUUUUGAUAUUUAAACAAGUCUUUUUUAACAGUAAUUUUUUCAUAUAUUCAUUAAAUAUGUUGCAACUUAUAAGAUUUUUUUAUGUGGUUUCUACAUAUGUAAAUUUUAUUUAAAUUUUUUUUAUAAAAUUUCAUAUCCAAAUUCAUGAACAAAGUAAAUUGUUUUAUUCUCAAAAUUAAAAUGAUGUCACAUUAAUUGAAGCAAAUUAGAUAGUAACUUAUUGUAAAAUCUUUGACAAAGGCAUAUCAUUUCUCUUAAACAAAAAAUAUGAUACUGUAUAUGUAUUGUUUUAAAUUUCCAUACUACAUUCUAUACCAUUAUUUAAGCACUUGUGUGGAGGUUUGUUCAGCAGUCAGAAUUCACAAGAACAAAUUAAAUUCUUCAAAGAUUGAGUGUGUUUGGUACGAAGGGAAUCUUUUUAAUUUUCUAAAAUAUUUGGUUCAUUAAAAUAUUUUCUACAAGAAAGUAAAUUUGUUAAGAAAAAUGAGGAACAUAACAUUACUAAUAGAAAACAGAAAAAAUAAAUUUCAUAAGUAACUUUCUAAUUUAUUGGCCCUUUCUGCCCAGCUAAUGACCUCAAUCUCAAUCCUCACCCCCUCCACCCCUAAAUUACCACUCUUCACACCAUCCCACGCUCAUCAUAUAUUUUAUUAGUUUAAUUAUAUAUUAAUGUUCUAAAGGUAUUAAUGUUUAUUUACUUAUCAAACACAAGAAGAAAAAAAACAAAAAACCUAAUUGUUUUUCAAGAAAUAUUUUCCUUCAUUACUAUGUAUAAAAAAAAAUAAAAUAAACAAAGUGCUUUGAUUUCUCUAACUAAAAUCAUGCAAAGUUGAGGCAUUCACGCAUUUUUUUGGGGUAUGAUUCUGUAAGAAGACUUUGUUGCUCUUUGAAUCAUUGCAUUACAAACAGUAGUAUAGCUACCUUUUUUUUAAUAAUUUAUUCAUUUGCUUAGCUUGCUACCUAUAUAGAUCAAAUAAAAAAAUAAAAACAAGAGUCAAAUUGAGCGGACAACAUGACAAAAACUAAUCAAAAUGGACAACUCUAUCAUUUAUGUAAAUCUUAAUAAGGGUAAAUCCAGUUCCAACAAUGCAUUUCUCGGAGCGAGAAAAAAUACACUUUACGUGCUUGUACAUAAAUUCAUAUUGAAAGUAGUCUAAUAGCAAUGAAUAUAAAUGAUUCCAAGAGAUAGUAAAUUCGACAAUCAGGCCACUUCCUAAAAAUAAAAAUUGGAUAGAAGCUCCGGAAUUAGAUACUUUGUACCUAUAUCAAUAUUUUGGUGGACUAUAAUAUUUUGGUGGGAUAUAAAUUUAAAUAAAUUAUUUAGAUUAGAUUCUAUAACUUUUUAUAAGUAUUAUAAUUUGCGUAAGUACAAGAAUAUAAUCUAAAUAAUUUGUUUAAAAUUUAUAUCCCACCAAAAUAUUAUAGCCCACUAAAAUAUUGAUAUAAGUACAAAGUAGCUUAAAAGGACAAUAACUUCGCUCAUUGUUUGAAAAAUGGGGAAAAUGACUUCUCCAUUUGCCACUCUUUUAGUUGUUUUAGUAUCAUUUAGCUUAGCUUCCAAAAUCUCAGCAAAUUAUCAAUCCUCAUCUCCCCCACCACCAAACAAUCUAUACCAUCCUUCACCAACACCUUAUCAUCCCGCCCCAGUUUACAAAUCACCACCACCGCCACCAACUCCGGUUUACAAUUCGUUGUCGCCGCCAUCACCACCCUAGGAAUCAUACUAUCCUCCACACACCCCAAUCUACAAGUUGCUACCUCCACCGACCCAAGUUUACAAGUCUCCACCUCCAGCAAUCCCAAUUUAAAAGUCCCCACCACCAUCCAAAGAGCCAUACUAUCCUCCGCACACUCCAGCUUACAAGUCUCCACCUCCACCAACUCCUGUUUACAAGUCUCCAUCACCACCGAAGGAGCCAUACUACCCUCCGCACACCCCAGUCUACAAGUCACCCCCUCCACAGACUCCAAUUUACAAGUCUCCACCACCACUAAAAAAGCCAUACUACCCUCUACACACUCCAGUCUAUAAGUCACCACCUCUACCGACCCCAAUUUACAACUCCCCACCACCACCCAAGGAGUCAUACUACCCUCCACACACACCAGUCUACAAGUCUCCACCUCUACCAACACCAAUUUACAAGUCUCCACCACCACCCAAGGAGCCAUACUACCCUCCGCGCACCUCAAUCUACAAGUCACCCCCUCCAGGGACUCGAAUUUACAAGUCUCCACCACCACCAAAAGAGCCAUACUACCCUCUACACACCCCAGUCUACAAGUCACCCCCUCCACCGACUCCAAUUUACAAGUCUCCACCACCACUAAAAGAGCCAUACUACCAUUCACACACUCUAGUCUACAAGUCACCACCUCCACCGAUCCCAAUUUACAUCUCUCCACCACCACCCAAUGAGCCUUACUACCCACCACACACACCAGCCUACAAGUCUCCACCUCCACUGACCCCAAUUUACAAGUCUCCACCACCACCGAAGGAGCCAUACUACCCUCUGUACAACCUAGUCUACAAGUCACCCCCUCCACUGACUCCAAUUUACAAGUCUCUACCACCACCAAAAGAGCCAUACUACCCUCUCCACACCCCAAGCUACAAGUUACCCCUCCACCGAUUUCAAUUUACAAGUCUCCACCACCACAAAAAGAGCCAUACUACCCUCCCCACACUCUAGUCUACAAGUCACCACCUCCACCGACCCCAAUUUACAACUCUCCACCACUACCCAAGGAGCCAUACUAUCCUCCACACACUCCAGUUUACAAGUCACCACCUCCACCUACCCCAAUUUACAACUCUCCACCACCACCCAAGGAGCCAUACUACCCUCCACACACACUAGUCUACAAGUCUCCACCUUCACCACCACCAAUUUACACAUCUCCACCACCACCACCACCGAAGGAGCCAUACUACCCUUCACACACCCCUGUCUACAAGUCACCACCUCCACCGACCUCGGGUUACAAAUUACCACCUCCAUCCAAGGAGCCACACUACCCUCCAAACACCCCAGUGUACAAGUCAAUACCACCACCAACUCCAGUUUCCAAGUCACCGCCACUGCCACCGCCCAUGGAGCCACACUAUCCUCCACACACCCCAGUCUACAAGUCAUUACUACCACCGCUGAAGCAUACCAUCCCUCACCAACACCAUAUCAUCCUGCACCAGUAUACAACUCUCCUCCAUCACCAACUCCAAUACACAAGUCUCCACCACCACCUUACUAUCUUUACACCUCUCCUCCUCCUCCCUACCAUUACUAAGAAGCAACUUCAUUAUAUCUAAGGUAAUAAUUCAUAACUAAAACUUUUAAAAAUAAUGUCUAAAAUGCAAAGCAUUUAUAAGUUGCACAAUUUAAUUUCUUAAUACAAAUCAUUAAUAUAUAUAUCUCUGCAGUCUUCUUCUUAUUCGGUUAUCUUCUACUAUAUGUUCUCAUCUACAAUAUUAUAUUCUUAUGCAGCUGAAAAGCAGAAUGUGGAGCUUAAAGAAACGCAUUUUCCAUUUUCGAGAGUAAAUAAUAAGUCCAAAAGGAGGCAAAGUUCAUUUGUAGCUUCAUGUUGUCUAAGUUAUUAUUUAUACCCUAUGUUAUAUUUAUAUUUUACUUCUGUUCCUUUGUUCUAUUUCCUUGCAAAAUGAAGAGAUUAUGAGAUGAAUACAAAAGUUAUUACUACAUUGAUUAAUAUUUUCUUUCUCUCUACUCUAUUUUUCUAGAUCUUUUAAUUUCUUAUUUCGUUGUCUUUAUAUAUAUCGAAUCAUUUAGGUGAGUUCCAUCAAUUAUGUUAAAUCAAUCAUUAUAUAAAAAGAAAAUUUUCCCUAUCAAUAAAUUUAAUGAUAUGUACUAUAAAAUUUAAGUAACAAUUAAUAGGAAAAUCUUACUAGUUCAUUUAAUUAGUUAUCUAAAUUAUUGCUUUAUUGAUAAGAAUUCGAAUUCUAUUGUGAUCUCCACAAUAUGAUACAAUGCAAUAGAAUAAGCAAUAGUACAAUUAAAAAAAAAGCGACUGCCACAAUGUUAACAUAUGCUAGACUGACCAAUAAAUUUUAAAAAUUCAAAAUUGUCAAUGGUAAAGAAUAAAAAAUUAAUGAUGAAAAAAAAGGGUGAAAUAUUUGAAAAAUAUGAUCAAUGUACGUACUUAUCAUUAGCAAUAAUUAAGAAAUGAGACGAAAUCAACACUAGUAAAUUAUUCCCCAAGUAGAAAACUUCUUUUACGGUUUCAAAAAACUCAUUUAGUAAUAUAUUUGGUAAAUUACUAAAGAUUAAGUCAAUAUAAUUCAGUCAAAUGUUUUGUAAAUUAUAACAAAUAGUUACGCACAUACGCCCACAAUAUAAUUCUGAACCCCACUUGUUUUAUAUAAAGUCUCCAAUCACGUCAAUUUCGAAGCUUUUCUCCUCUUUAUGACAUCCCAAUUCACCAAAAUCUAUUCAAAUAUAGCAUCAUAAUAAUAUAACGAACCUAACGACGCUAAAAUCAAUUAAUUCGGGUGAAAAGGGUAAAAUGGUCCAAAAAAUUCAUCGUCAGAACAUAUCGUCGGAAUUUGAAAAUUUUUACAUGAAAAUGUUCCUCAAGUGAUAAGGAAUUCAGUAGCGAAAACUGUUUAAAAAAUGGAGCUAAUAUGAGGAAGAAAUCACAUGAUAAAGUUUUCAGAAUUAACAACAACGCAGCAGCAAAUCAGCAAAUUUUUACCUCAAACGACACACCAAAAUCAAUUUCUGAAGCUCUCAAGUUGUUCUCCUCAGAAAAUUAUACAACUUAACAUUUUGAAUCAUUCCAAUCGGACCAAAAACGAGAGAGAAAAUGUUGAUUGAAGUUGGAAAAAAUGUGAUAAAUUUUCUGCAUCAUUCUGCAGAUUUAAGAAUCGGGUCUGCCACAUGACAAAACCUUAUUGGGCCACAUGACCCAUCUUUUAAUUUUCACCAAUUGCUCAAACUUAAUUUUGAUGUUUCAGCCUCAUCUGAAGUAAAAAAAAUGCAAUCUAUAUAUGAAAUCUUAUCGGAAAUAGCAUUCCGGACUCAAUGGUGUAGUCAAAAUUUCAAAUGGAGAUCGUUUUAUGCCAAUGUGGGUCCUAUUUCCAAUUGGUCCAAUGUAUGGAAUAUGAGUUCUAACAUCCUUCCCCCCCUUAGAACAUUCAUCCUCGAAUGUUAAACCAACUUUACGAGCCAUACAAACAAUUUGGUAGAGUUUCCUUUUCAACUAUCACAACAAUACAUUCAUUGAUCAACAGUUUAUUUAUCAAGCAACAAAAUCAAGUGAAAGAUUGAAUUACCCGUGGGCACUGAAAACAAGUGAGGAUACUUCUUCUUCAUCUGCUCUUCAGCUUCCCAGGUCAUUUCCUCUCGGUUAUUGUUUCGCUAUAGCACUUUAACAAAAGCCAUAUCUUUAUUUCGUAACUUUUUCACCUGACGAUCCAAAAUGGCUACGGGCCACUCUUCAUAAGAUAGUUCUUCUGUGACCUGAAUAUCAUCCACAGGGAAGAUUUUGAAAGGGUCACCAAUACACUUAUGAAGCAUAGAAACAUGGAAUACCGGGUGUACCACUUCCAAAUCAGCUGGCAUAUCUAAUUCAUAGGCAACCUUUCCUAUUCUACGGACAAUCUGAUAUGGCCCAAUAUAUCUCAGACUGAGCUUUCCUUUCUUACCGAACCUCAUAACACCUUUCAUAGGUGACUCUUUAAGGAAUACCCAAUCACUAAUCUGAAACUCCAAAUGUCGACGAUGAUUAUCUGCAUAUGAUUUUUGUCGACUCUGAGCCGCUAACAACCGCUCCUGAAUGAGUUUCACCUUAUCCACUACCUGCUAAACCAUGUCUGGGCCAAUCAACUCAGUCUUUCCAAUAUUAAACCAAUCGAUUAGUGACCUACACUUCUUGCCAUACUAUGCCUCAUAAGGUGACAUCGGAAUACUGGAGUGGUAGCUAUUAUUAUAAGCAAAUUCAACAAGCAGCAAAUGAUUAUCCUAGCUACCUCUGAAAUCAAUAACACAGGCCCACAACAUGUCUUUCAAUGUCUGAAUAGUGUGCUCGGCCUGUCUAUCAGACUGGAGAUGUAAUGCUGUACUGAGACUCACCUAAGUCCCCAAGUUUGUCUGAAACGAUCUCCAAAAAUUUACCAUAAACUGGGCAUCUCUAUCGGAGAUAAUAGAUAUGGGAACACCAUGAAGUCGCAUAAUCUCCCUGAUAAUAGCAUAAUCCUCAGCUGAGUAGGUAGUCCGGAUCGAAAGGAAAUGGGCUGAUUUCAUCAGCCGAUCAACAAUAACCCAAAUGGAAUCAUACCUCUGUGGGGUGCGAGGUAAACCUGUAAUAAAAUCCAUAUUAAUGAUCUCCCACUUCCACAUCAAUAUCUUCAUCUCCUGCAAUGGCCUACCAGGCUUCUGGUGCUCAAUCUUGACCUGCUGGCAAUUCGGACACUAAGCGAUGAACUCUGCUAUGUCUCUUUUCAUACCAUCCCACCAAUAUAAACAUCUGAGAUCAUAGUACAUCUUCAUUGACCCUAGAUGAAUGGAAUAGCGGGCAUAAUGUGCCUCGCCCAUAACCUGUCGCCACAAACCCGCAACAUCAGGUACACACAAUCUGCUCCUGUAUAAUAAUGCUCCAUCGGAGGUAAGUCCAAACGGGGUUCUUUCCUUUUCAAGGCCGGUGUCUCUGUAUUGUACCAGAAUAGGAUCCUCAUAUUGACGCUGCUUAAUCUCUUCUGUAAUGGAGGAUUCAGCCAUACCUCGAACAGAAUCACCAACAUCUCCAGAUUGAGCCAAACGAACUCCAAGAUUAGCUAGCUGAUGAAUAUCAUGAACCAUCUCUCUUCUCUCUGAAGGCGUGUCCACUAAACUACCCAUGGACUUGUGGCUAAGUGCAUCUGCCACAACAUUAGCUUUUCCAGGAUGGUAGAGACUAUCAACAUCAUAAUCUUUCAGUAACUUUAACCACCUCCGCUGCCACAAGUUUAGCUCCUUCUGUUUAAAGAUGUACUGGAGGCUCUUAUGAUCGGUAUAAAUAUCUACAUGAACCCCAUAUAAAUAAUAUCUCCACAUCUUCAUAGCAUGAAUCACCGCGGCUAGCUCCAAAUCGUGAGUAGGAUAAUUCUUUUCAUAUGUCCUGAGCUGCCGGGAAGCAUAAGCUAUCACCCUGCCAUGCUGCAUCAACACACACCCCAAACCAAUACCAGAGGCAUCUCAAUAAAUCACAUAUCCAUCUGGACCCUCAGGAAGAGUCAGUACUAGAGCCAUAGUCAACUUCUCCUUCAGCAAUUAGAAACUACGCUCACAAGCAUCAGACCAUUGGAAUUUCGCUCCCUUCUAAAUUAGCCUUGUCAAAGGCGCUGAAAUAGAAGCAAAUUUCUCCAUAAAUCUUCGAUAAUAACAACCAAUCCCAGGAAAAGGCCAAUUUCUUACGGCCUCAAUCUUCUGAAAAUCCACCCGGACGCCGUCAGCUCCUAUAAUAUGCCCCAAAAAUGCCACUGAAGACAACCAGAAUUCAUAUUUAGGAAAUUUAGCAUAUAAUUUUUGGUACCGAAGUGUACCAAGUACCAUCCUCAGAUGAUUCAAGUGCUCCUCUUUUGACUAAGAAUAGACCAGAAUGUCAUUAAUAAAUACGAUCACGAACAUAUCCAAGAAUGGUCUGAAUACCCGAUUUAUAAGAUCCACAAAUAUUGCCGGAGCAUUUGUCAGUCCAAAAGACAUAACUCUGAAUUCAUAAUGCCCAUACCAGGUCCUGAAUGCUUUCUUGGGAAUAUCCUCCUCCCGUACUCGCACCUGGUGGUAAUCCGACCGUAGGUCUAUCUUUGAGAAGCAUUUAGCUCCCUGCAACUGGUCAAAUAAAUCAUCAAUCUUGGGGAGGGGGUAUAUAUUAUUUAUCAUUACCUUAUUCAACUUCUGAUAAUCAAUGCAUAUCUGCAGGGAUCCAUCUUUCUUCCUUACAAAUAAUAUCAGAGCCCCCCAAGGUGACGUACUAGGCCGAAUAAAACCCUUCUCCAAUAGAUCUCUCAGCUGUUCUUUCAAUUACAUUCAUUCUGUCGGUGCCAUUCUGUACGGAGGAAUAGAAAUAGGCUGAGUGUCUGGCAGCAAAUCUGUAGCAAACUCUAUCUCCCGCUCAGGAGGAAGACUUGGAAGAUCGUCUCGAAAUAUAUUUGAGAAUUCAUUAAUGACUGGGACUGACUGAAGAGUCGGUACCUCUGGCUCUAAAUCAUGUACAUGGACUAAAUAAUAAAUAUAGCCUUUUCUAAACAUUUUUCUUCCUUUGAGGUAUGAAAUAAAUUUACCCCGCGGCGAUGCGGUAUUACUUGCCUAGUCAAUAACUGGUUCCCCUAGAAAUUGGAAAUGGACUAUCUUCUUUUGACAAUCAACAUUUGCAUAACAAGAAGCUAGCCAAUCCAUACCCUAAUCACGUCGAACUCAGUCAUAUUUAACUCUACCAGAUCGACCAUAGUGCAGCAGCCACAAAUAAAUAUCGAACAGUCUCUAUAAACUUGACAGGAAAUAAUAGAAUCUCCUACUGGUGUAGCUACCUCGAAAGGCUCUAUCGGCUCAAACUCUAUCCUAAUUUUAUUAGCAACCAAAAUAGAAAUAUAUGACAAUGUAGAACCAGGAUCAAUCAGUGCAUACACAUCUCGAGAAGAAACUAGUAAUAUACCUGUGAUGACAUUUGGCGACGCCUCCUGGUUCUGCCCAAUGCAUAAAUGCGGUUCGAAGGACCGCUAGACCCAAGAACUCCACCACGACCCCUACCUCGGCCUGUUGAUGCUGGUAUACCUCACCCCGCAGGGCGUAUGGCUACCAAGGAUGAAGAUGAACCAUCGGCUUACCCGGUAGACUGAGCUAAACUGCAUGUAUCACCUCUAACCGGACAGUUUCUCAUCUGGUGGCCCUGAUGGCCACAUAUAAAGUAAGCAUCGGUGGAGCAAAAGCACUCCCCGGGGUGUUGUCUCCCACAUAUAGAACACGAAGGUCUGGGUGGUCUCAUCUGACUGCUGGAGCCAGCCUCUGUCUAACUGUGAGCCUGAAACCCUGGAACUCGGGCCUGCCCCUGAAUANNNNNNNNNNNNNNNNNNNNNNNNNNNNNNNNNNNNNNNNNNNNNNNNNNNNNNNNNNNNNNNNNNNNNNNNNNNNNNNNNNNNNNNNNNNNNNNNNNNNNNNNNNNNNNNNNNNNNNNNNNNNNNNNNNNNNNNNNNNNNNNNNNNNNNNNNNNNNNNNNNNNNNNNNNNNNNNNNNNNNNNNNNNNNNNNNNNNNNNNNNNNNNNNNNNNNNNNNNNNNNNNNNNNNNNNNNNNNNNNNNNNNNNNNNNNNNNNNNNNNNNNNNNNNNNNNNNNNNNNNNNNNNNNNNNNNNNNNNNNNNNNNNNNNNNNNNNNNNNNNNNNNNNNNNNNNNNNNNNNNNNNNNNNNNNNNNNNNNNNNNNNNNNNNNNNNNNNNNNNNNNNNNNNNNNNNNNNNNNNNNNNNNNNNNNNNNNNNNNNNNNNNNNNNNNNNNNNNNNNNNNNNNNNNNNNNNNNNNNNNNNNNNNNNNNNNNNNNNNNNNNNNNNNNNNNNNNNNNNNNNNNNNNNNNNNNNNNNNNNNNNNNNNNNNNNNNNNNNNNNNNNNNNNNNNNNNNNNNNNNNNNNNNNNNNNNNNNNNNNNNNNNNNNNNNNNNNNNNNNNNNNNNNNNNNNNNNNNNNNNNNNNNAACACGAAGGUCUGGGUGGUCUCAUCUGACUGCUGGAGCCAGCCUCUGUCUAACUGUGAGCCUGAAACCCUGGAACUCGGGCCUGCCCCUGAAUAGCCUGUGCCCUCUGAUCUCCUGCUGGUGAACUAUGGGGGUGUGCCCCAUACUAACUGGGGAGGAUGUCUAUUCUGCUGCUGCUGAGGCUGCCUGCCUCGAAAAUCCCCUGAAUACCCAGAUGAUCUGGCCCUCUUGGGCUGGCCUCUGUCAUCAACCCUAUCAGGCUGGCACCCCCUGCGUCGGUCCUCCAUGCCCUGGGCGUAGGCCUGAAUACAGGUGAUAUCCUUACCGGUCUGGGCUGCCAUCACAAGCAACUAUUAACAUAAUACUGGUCCAGCCCUACUAUAUAUUAUUGCAUCCAGUCAGUCAUGUCAACAACAUAUGUAGGCGCAUAUCUGGCUAGCGAAUCGAACUCCAGGCUAUAAUCCCUGACUGGCCUACCCCGCUGCUUCAACAGCAGGAAUCUGUCUACUCUAGAUCGCCUCACCUCCGAAGGCAGAAAAUGUGCUAGAAAAGCCUCAGUAAACUCGCCCCAAACGGCUGGAGGGGCACCCUCACCUCUGGAUAGCAUCCAUGACUCAUACCAAUUGGCUGCUGCAUCGUGCAAUCGGUAGGACGCCAGCUCAACUUACUUUGUCUCAAAUGCACUAAUCAAUUGCAGGGUGCACUGCAUCUAUUGGAAAAACUCAUGAGGGUCCUCUGCGGGCUUGAUCCCGAAGAACUCUAGUGGGCUGCAUGUCAGAAAAUCACAAGCCCUCAAACUGUCACGGCGGCCUACCUGAUCACCGCUUACUCCCUGUCUACAGGCCUGUCCUGCUACCAGUCGGGUCAAUAGUUGGACCACCUCUUGCAUGUCCCUAAUCUCUGCACCUAGCCGAGGGGCUGGAGGCUCUGAUACUCGAACCUCGGGAGAUGGCGAUGGAGCCGUCCCCGUACCUGCAGCUGCUGAUGCUCCAACUGCCUUCGACAUUGGCAGUGUAGUCGAACUAGCUGUCGGGGGUACCAUAUCUGGCUCUCUCUGGGCACGAGCCCUAGUAGUCACCCGGGCUCGACUGGUCUAACCUACCGCUACAGACCUGCCCUUCUGGGAAGCUGUGGUCUUUCUCGGAGGCAUUACUGAAAACAGAACAUUUUGUCAGAAAAGAGUCAUCCUAAUAACGCAGUUCUAUCGCACGAUCUAAGAUUUGAAAGAAAAGAAAUAACAUCCUAAAUGUCCUGUAGCCUCCUAUUAAUGGAUAUGGUGCAUAACACAUCGAUAAACAAGACUCUACUAUAUACGGUCUGUGGACAUUCUGAGGAUGAACCACUCUGGUACCACUUUUGUCAUGAUCCAACCCCGUGGGCCGUGACUAGUGCCCAGAUUGGGCACCCAAACACUGCCUCAGAUCCUAUCAAACACAUCUCUGAAUAUAACAGAAAUCGACAAGGCGACGUUUCAAAAAAUUUGGCAGAGUUUCCUUUGUCUUACGGACUAUCCAAAAUAACCCUGCACUCAGAAAAUACCAACGAAAGCUACACAGGGCAAACAAAACAACAUAUAUAUAUAUAUGGGGGCUGACAAGGCCGCCAUGGCAGGUGAAACCGCCCAACACACACAUCAUACAAAUCUAGUCGAACGGACUGGGCACAAUCCACACACAUAUAUCCUCAGAUCUCUAAAUAAACUGACAGAAUCAUAGGACGGGAUAGGGCCCGGCCGUAUUCCUGAACAAAUAUAUAUAAUGCAAUGAACAAAUAUAUACCAAAAGUAGACUCCGAAAUAGGGGGAGCACUCCAAAUAGCAGAAAGGUGUCGUAAAUUGGUGGAUCUCCAAGCUGUACGUCUGUACCUGCGGGCAUGAAACGUAGCCCCCCCCGAAGAAGUGAGGUCAAUACGAAAUAUGUACUGAGUAUGCAAAGCAGAAGAUACAGAACAUAAAUCUGAGUAAUAAUCGAAAUAAAAGUAUGAAAGGUAAAUACAUAUCCAAAAAUAUUAAAAUGUUUACUUUCAAAAUACAAAUCAUGCAUAGGGCACAGGAAAUAUGGUCACCCGCUUGUCGAUGGUGCCAUAACACAGCAUAACACCAGAAAGUUUCAAAUCUUUGAAUCCCCUCAUUUAUCACAACACAGCAUAAUGCCAAACACAAUAUAAUGCCCAACAAAAGUGGAACCCGGCCCUUGAGCGAAGAGCUCGAUGAACCAUAAAUAUAGCAUAACACCAGAGUAUAUCAUAAUGCGUACGAUAAAUAACCAACUCGAGAACCAGCGAACAAUAUCAUAGUAGUAGGCACGAGCGGAGUAGUGAAUAAUCAUAUGCAUAAAAUCAUUAUCAUAAAUCCAAAAGAUAAGUAAAAUAGUCAUAUUUGAAAUUGGAAGAAUAAUUAUUACGUAUUCUUUCAAAAGUUAUCGAAAUUGAAUAAAAGAGCGUCGCGGGACCCAAGACACGUGGAGACCCAAGCUGGCCCAGCCUAUGGAGAAUAUUCUUAUCCUAGACCAUACAAGGUCCUACAAGAAUUUCAAAACAAUAUGAGCUCUUCUGUAAAAGUUAUGGGCGUUUGUAGUUUUAGAUUCGUAAAAAAAUUAAGUUCUUUUAAAACUAAUCAACUUUCAUAUACCCUUUGCAACUUAUGAAUUCCAAGGACAUAUGGAUCAAUGUUAUGACAUAUUAACACAAGAAUACCAAGGAACAAAUGAGGAUCAUAAACAUGAUCGGAUUGCGAGAAUAUAGUUUCCUCGAGGCUCGUAUCAUAGCCUAUUUUAACUAAGGCAUGCUGAAAAGAAAGGUUGCUUUACAUAUCUCAAACGCUCUUCAAUAUAAUCCAAAUGCAAGCUAGAUCCAACUUACGCUUCAGGCUGCCCAAGGUCUACAAACAAGUCAUAAAAUGUCAAACAUUAGAUAAAGACUUUUUGGGCAUUAAAUUCCAAAUUUGUCUUUAAUUCUACAGAAAUUUGGGCAGCAUUUCCCCUGAAAAUAGGCCACCCCGAGAAUUCAACUCGGCCAAAUCAACAACAACAACAAUAACCAACUUAGCAGCAUCAACAACCAAUCCGAAAGGCAAUACAACAAUGAUAGCUCUUUUUUUUCAUCAUUCAAUAACAUUCAUAAAUUCGAUUCAACGGCUUACCUUUAAGCCAACAUCGAUGCUUGUACAUUCAAAUACUAACCCGAAUCCAUACCAAUAUUAUUUAAAGACAUUCUAAGCAAUUUACAUAACACUUCCAACAAUCCAAAAUUUUCUCCAAUCUAGCCAAGAAUAGCCCCUAAACCCGAGAACCUCACUUGCCUUAUAUAAAGUCUCCAAUCACGUCAAUUUCGAAGCUUUUCCCCUUUCUAUGACACCCUAAUUCACCAAAAUCUAUUCAAAUAUAAUCAUAAUAAUAUAACGAACCUAACGACGCUAAAAUCAAUUAAUUCGGGUGAAAAGGGUAAAAUGGUCCAAAAGUUUCGUUGCCAGAAUAUAUCAUCAGAAUCUAGAAAUUUUUACAUGAAAAUAUUCCCCAAGUGAUAAGGAAUUCAGUAGCAAAAACCGUUUAAAAAAAUAAAGCUAAUAUGAGGAAGAAAUCGCAUGAUAAAGUUUUCAGAAUUAACAACAAUGCAACAACAAAUCAGUAAUUUUUUACCUCAAACAACUCACCAAAAUAAAUUUCUGAAGCUCCCAAGUUGUUCUUCUCAGAAAAUUAUACACUUAGCCUUUUGAAUCACUCCAAUUGGACCAAAAACUAAAGAAAAAAUGUUGAUUGAAGUUGGGAAAAAUGUGAGAAAUUUUCUGCAUCAUUCUGCAGAUUUAAGAACCGGGUCUGCCAUGUGGCAGAAUCUUAUUAGGCCACGUGGCCCCAUCUUUUAAUUUUCACCAACUUCUCAAACUAAAUUUUGAUGUUCCGUCCUCAUCUGAAGUAAAAAAAAAAUAUAAUCCAUACAUGAAAUCUUAUGGAAAAUAACAUUUCGGACUCAAUGGUGUAGUCAAAAUUUCCAAUGAAGAUCGUUUUAUACCAAUAUGGGUCCUAUUUCUCAAUUGCUCCAAUGCAUGGAAUACGGGUUCUAACAAAGAGUGCUUGUAACACAAAUGAAGGAUCUUUGCCCCUGAUAAGAUGGAGUCAAGUUAAAAAAAAGGGUGCAUCAUGGUAAGUUUUUGGUAACCCCUUCGUCACCUGUUAGAAUUGCUACAUCUCCUAAGGGGUCUCAAGAACCCGGUUCUCCUACUAUCCCUGCCCCCCCAAGACAAACAAGCAUGUAGAGAUAUUUUUAACUAUGUGGAAACAUAAUUACUUUGGGUCUAAAACGGUUUUAAGGCUGUGACGCCUCGGGAGGGUACCCUAGAUGUGAUCGACACUCAGAGACUAUUGCUAGUCCCUAAACGAACAACUUGGACUCAUCACAUUUGUUCAGUCAAUAUAACUAAUCAAUCAAUGGAAGACUACGAUAAUAAAAGAUGGGCAACCUAAAUCUCAUAAGCAUAUAAAUAAAACAGGCUAGUCUGAAAUAAGCUAGCUCAACAUAAUCUUUAAUCAACAACUCUACUCUAGUCUAUGAAGCCUCUACCAUUAUCAAUCGGUGCCAAUGACAGACCCAUAGCUACCCUAACUCAAGAAAUAAUACAGCUAGUCUACUGCAAAAGAUCCUCUAGUCUAGUCUAAUCAAUAACUCUACUCUAGUCUAAUAGCUAGAUGAAAGUAAGAAUAGGAUCCUCCAAAAUAAGGGAAGCUCACUAAGUCAGCUGACUGCAAAAGAUCCUCACGGUGCGCCUGUUGACGAUCUCUAGUACCUUCCCCUACAUAGUAAAAUGAUGCAGUCCAAAGGAGACGUUAGUAAGUGGAAUGUACGAGUAUAUAAAAUGGCUAAAUAAAAUAGAAAUAGAUAGAAUAAUAUAAAAUAACAUCAACUAAAAAGAUACUCAAUUAGGAUGUCAAAUGUCUAUCUAAAGCAAGAAUAAAGAGUAGACAAAUGAGUCAUCAAUACCACGCAAGCCUCAUAACUCAACUCAACUUAGAGUACUAUCACUGUGGGACCUAUUGCGGAGUUUCUCUUAUCUGAUAACAAUCACUUAUGAGCCAGUGAUUGUAUAACACUCCUACUAAUGUUGCCACAGUCGUUUCAUACUUGUCAGGUAAAUAAUGAAUCGGAUCCCCAAGAGAUCUAACCUCUAAAGUCCUCUAUUGUUUUAAGGGACUUUAACUCAAGUGGGAACCUCAAUGAAAUAGUUUAAUCCUCACCUAUGCUUGGCGACAUAGUUAAUGAGUGCGAGUUGGACUUACCCUUACUCAUUUCAGUGCUGGAUACUCCUUCCAAGACUCAAUGCUCAUAAACUCAUCCAUCUCAAUCAAUCAUCUCAAUUAGUCUCAUAAAGACUCUCAUCAUCUUAAUUAGUCUCAUAGGGACUUUUAUUAUCUCAUUAACUCAAACUCAAUUGGGCCUUUCGAACUAUCAUCUCAAUCAUCUCAUCAACUCAAUUCUCAUUUAAGAACUCAAGGACUCAGAUCAUCAUCAAAAAGAAAUCAAUUGGACAAAACUCUGGAGUUUAAUUAUGAAUACUUAAGGGAUCAUCAAUCUCUAUUAACUCAUCAUCAUCAUGUUCACAUCAUAAUCACAAUCAACAUUCUCAAGUCAAGGCUCUAGACUCAAUCCCUAGGUUCAUUCAUGCAUUCUUUUAUAAAAUAACAUAUUGGAUUUAUGAAGUAAUUUAUGUAAAAACAUGUAUUCAGUAAAACAAGUUUAUAUUAAUCGUCAACACAUGAAAAUACUUGUCACACACAUACACACAUAUAUGUAUGUAUGUAUUUAUAUAUAGUUUGCAAGAAAAUACUCAAGAAAUAUGUAUAAAGACUCAUGAUACUCACAACUCCUCUAUUACCAUCAAUGCGGGCACAUAAAAGAACGAUUUCAUGCUUUAGUUUAGCAUUACAUACUUGGUGUGAAGCUUUGAUACUUAAUCUUGUAAAAACUCUCCUCAAUCUCCUAAAUUCUCGCUCCUCUUCUCUCCUCUUUCACCCUAUUAUUUGUUAAAACUUAGAAGGGACUUAGGAAUGGGAAUAGAAACUCUUUUUAUGCUCAAAAUGAUCCAUUUAGAUCGCAUUUUAAGUUUAGAAGGGGUGUAUUUUUGGGUUUUUUCAUAAAAAAAAACUAGAAAAAAAACUUUGCCUCAAGGUAGCAUAGCCCGUGACGCGGACAAGGUAUAUUUUUGGAUUUUUUUAAUAAAAAAUUUUCCAAUUGAGUUUUCUAAUCAUGUAAAAAAUAUUGAGACCAAAUCUUAGUAUAUCUUUGCGGCAAGUCCGCGUCGCGGGCAUGUCACACAUUCUUACUGGAAUUGCGUUUCGCAUCAAAAUAUUAUCUUUUGAUUCAGUUGCUGUAAAAAAUAACUAAGAUCAUUCUCCCACUCAAUUUUUCAUGGUGAUCACAUAUCCAACCUCUGAUUUGCCAUCGGAGUUUAGAAAGAUACGUUAUGUGCACAUCUCUCCUCUACGGGUAUUUUGGUGAUUUCACCAAGUGUUACAAAGUCAACGAGUAAUUCACCUAGAUGUCCGUAAUUUCCCUCUAGUUGAAAAACUUUGCAUUAAAUUAGUUGCUCAGGGGUUGUCGCACUUAUUCUUGGACACAUACUUGAUGGUUUAUGAGCAAGAAGUGGUGGAAUAUUAUGUUAAUCUAUCUAUUCCGAAAGGUGGUGUAGGUACGUCGAGGGUUGAGGGAAUAGAACUAGUAUUUGAAAAAGUUAGGUUGGGUGAAAUCUUAGGCGUUCUAUUUGUUGGGUUCGCAGAAUGUGUGUGGAAGAAGGAUGAAGAUUGUGUGGUUACUUCUAAGUGUACUCAGGGUAGAGUUUAUGAUGUGCCCCAAAAGGUGCUAAAAGGGGAAAUGCCACUAUUAUUCGAGGUGGCACACAAGGGGAUUUUACCCAGGGGUGAGCAUUGCCAUGAGGUGACACUGGCAAAUUCCAUUGAACUCGAGGAACUAAUUGACUAUCCCUCCUUGAUUAUAAGGCAUAUGGCAAGGGUCAUUGGUCCUGCACCUGGCUCUUACCAACUAGUAUUUGGGAAUCUCUUGACUCUUGCCAUCAAGGAAUGUGAAGUCCUUCUAGGUGCAUGUAGGACUUUGACUAAAAAAGAAAUGAUUAAUAGGAUUAUUGCCUUAGAGUGUGACUAUCUCCCAGCUACUCCUACUGUCCUUGCUCCGCUUAAGGCUUCUAGGCCUAUGUCCCAGAUGAUGUUGGAAUUAAAAGCUGCUCGUGUUACCCAAAUGAGACUCUAAAUGCAGGUGGAUGAGUUGAAAGACCAAUUAGGAGAGUCUCGGGCUGAAGUAGGUCGUCUUUAGGACCAGCUCCUCUUCUAAAAGCAAGAUCAUAAUGCAAGGGUGGACUUGCUCUUAAAGAUGCUUGGAUCAACCCCCUCAUCCUUUGCUCCUAACCUUUAGCCUCUCUCUAUAAUACUCCAUUGGUUCUAUAUAAAUUUCUUUUGGGUUCUCUUAUGGUUGCUACAAAUAAUCUUUUUUGGCUUGUAUAUAUUUGACUUGAUUUCACAAUGGUAGGCAUAUAGUAUGUUUGUUUGUGAAUGUUGGUUUAUAUGUUAUAUCAUUGGCUUUUUUUAUUACUGGUUGUGGAUGACUAAUAUCAUUAGUUUUAUUAUGUUGUGUCAUCGGGGACUAAUUGUUUGUGUGCUUGUGUCACUGUUAAUUAUUGUCCUUGUUCAUACUCACUUUAUUCUUUUUGUAAUGUCAAAGGGGGAAGGAGUAUGUUACAGGUGCAGGUAUAUCACAGAUAUGGGUUUGGUAUCAUCAAAAAGGGGGAAUUUGUUAGGAUCUGGCAUGAUCUCCUAAACUGUUUUGAUGAUGACUAACGGAACCAGGUUCAAGAUGCAUUACCAAGAAAAUGGACAUAACUAAAGAGGUAUAAUUCUACAAGGAGAAGGAGUCUUAAAUAAGGAAGUAGAACCAGAACAAGAUUCCUAUAAGAAAAAGUUGUAGGUGCCAUAUUUAAUCGGGAGUCUUGGAAAAUGACUCUUCUAGGGUCAAGUAUAAAAGGCAAUCAACAACCCUAGAAGAGUCGACAAUUCUUCAAGUAGGAGUAAACGACACUAGAGCAUUCAAAGAAGAUCUAGAAUUUGAUUUUCUUAUUUGUUCAAUUGUUCAAUUGUUAGCAAUCUUCUUAUAAUUAUUAUUGAGUGACAAUUAUUGGAAGAGAUUAUUUUGUAAGAAUAAGUGUUGAGAGUAGGUUUGGCUAUCAUCUUGUUGCGAGGUGUGAGAGAGAAGAUAGUUAUGUUGAGUGUUGCGAGGUUGUAACCUUAACAUUGCUUAGUUUUGAAAUAAUGAAGUUGCAGAAAUUCUACUAGCGUGGAUGGUGGUUGUUUCUCCUUUGAGAAAGGAGUUUUUUCACUAUACAUCUUGUUUCCCUUAACUUAUUGCAUCUGUAACUAUUCGGAUCAUAUAACUUGGUUCACUCGUAUGAUAACACAAAUCAUCUUUUCACCCAAUUUUGAAGCUACAAGAAUUAAGCUUGAGGAUGAUAAAAUUGUAGUAGUUUGUAGUCCACCAUUCACUUUUUAUAUAGUAUAUUUAUUCUCAAUUGACUUUCUCUUUAAGAUAAAUUACAUAUUCAACUGAGAUCAAGAAAAAUCAUGUAAAGUUAGAAGAAGGAUUUUGCGAAAUGAAGUAGUCUGUGAGAAAAAAGAUAUUAGAGAUCUAGUUGGUAAAGGAAGGUUUGGUAAGCCAAUUCCAUUAGCAAAGUGGUAGAGUUGAGGAUAACAACUCAAAAAAAAGGUGCUUAUUCGAAGGAGCUCCCAUGAUUAGGAGAAAGUUGCAAUGAUUAAGUUGUAUUGUACUUUUUAAGAUAAUUGUAUUUUUUCUCAUAGGAAAAUAUUUUGUAAUAAAUUGACUGCAUUUCUUACAAAAUCUGAUUUUGUCCUAGAAGUGCCUUCUAGCAAUUCUAUUUCAAUUGUUGUUGUCACUAAUUAAAAUAAUUUAUUGUGAUAGUUUUAUUGUAUCGGUAAAAAUAAUAUUUUUGGUGACAAUGUGACAAUUUUUAAUUAUAAAAUUAAAAGUGAUUUUGCUAAAGCUAAGUUGUCACUAAUUUGUAUAUUUGGAGAUAAGUAAAAAAUUCGUAUGAAAAAGAUUGUUUUUAAGUGAUGAAAUUACUUUUAUUCAACUACGAAAUAUAAAUAAUAUUAGAGACAUAUGAUGUUGUCACUAACUAAAAUAAAAAUUUAGGGACAAAUUUAUUUUGUCGGUAUUUAAUAUUCUUUUUAGCAAUGAAAAUAACACUAUCAACUAUGAUUUUUUUAAUACUUUUAUGAUGAACGAGUUUGUCAUAAAUACUACAGAUUUGGGGACAAAAAAUUAUUCGUAGUUGAUGCAAUUUUAUUUGGUGAUGAAACAUUAAAUCAUCUUUGUAUACUUUUAGUGACUCACAUUUAUAGACAAAUGAUUGAUGAAAUUCUUUUCAUCACACAAGAUCUUUUGUGACAAAAUCAUUUGUCCCUAAUAAUCAAAUUUAUUAUAAAUCCUCUAAUACAAAGUGUGGAUUUGAGUGUCAUAUGGAAACUUGCAAAUUCCACAUACCACAAGUUAGUAUAUUAAUCUCAGUGAGUGACUAAGGCAGUUGCUAAAGCUUUUAGUUCGGAUUGAAGAGGAAAUAAUCUGAAUUGAAUUUAUCAAAAACAUUCAUCCCAUUGGAGUUUGUCAAUUUUCACAUACCAAAUGAUUGACUAGUUAGGACUUUGAUAUAGAAUGUUGUCUAUGGAGAUGCAAAUGAUAAACAUGAAAGCGCAAAAAAGAUGUAAGUAAUUUUAUGUAGACAUUCUUAAUGCAUGUGACACUCCUUUCUAUUGAACAUUGUCAAACUAAUUUUUAGCUUUAGUUUUUUACGUUAAGAUAGAGCAUAUGCAUCAAAUUACACGAGGUGGAAUACUAGUCAUCGAAAAAUAAACCUUUUAUGAUGAUGCAAAGUUAGCUGAAAUCUAGUUCUUUUCCAUUUCUUAUUUGCUCGCACUAUUUGAGCCACAUGAAUAUAUCCAAAGUGUUCUGAUUGUAGCAUAAUGUUGAAUGGCAUCACCCUUAAUAGAAAGCACAAGAGCUCAGAGUAAACUCUCAGUGACUUGGAAAAGCUAAGCCAAACUUUAAAGAAAUUGCUUAAUUCUAUUCAGAGGACAAGAAAUUUUUGUUACACUAAUACUAACCUCAACUUUUCAUCUGAACAAGUCUUUGAACCAAGAUUUCAUGUUGAAGUUUGAAUGAAUUUUUGGGCUUCUCAUGAUUAAUAGGUACACCUUAGAAAAUAGGCUCAAGAAAUGGUUACUUGAUGAGAGAGAAAAAUUCAUAAGAUGCAAUAGUUCAAAAUCAAUUCAAACACUAUUUUGGAUUUUCCUAGUUUGUGUCCAUCAUCAAAUGUUGUUGAUAAACUAAUCCAAGAAUUAUAGAAUAAAAAAGAUACAAUAAAAAUGAAGAAUGUCAUGACAUUAUAAUUGUAGAAUAGAAUCAACAAGCUCAUUGAGAGGUGCAAGCUCCGCCUUGUCAAUCAACUGAAACUCCUGUAUCAAGCAAAAUCAAAUUAGUAGCUUAUUGUAAAAUUUUAGAAUCUUUGAACCUCAUUUUACUUCUAACAAGCCACAACACAAACUAAUAACUUGACAAUGCAUCAAAUCAACAACAUGAAAUAAGCUACUUACCCAUGUGAAGAGAACAAAAUGUUUAAAGCAAGUAUUCAGAUGAGCUUCUUCCUCCAAGCUGAGAAUCUUUUGAAAAUGAGAAUGGUAGAUAUGAGCAUAUACACGAAAUAAUCUCUUAAAUAUUGUCUUCACAACAUUCUGAAAGUUACAUGGAAAUGGAACACCUGUAGCAUAUAGUUGGUCUAAUAUAAAUACACUUUGAUCAAAGAAAAUAAUAUAUAAUGCAUAAGACAAAGAAACACCUCUUACCCAGCUCUUGAGGAAAGAUUGAUUCAUCAUCCAGUUGAGUCUCUAUCCAAUCCAUUAAAUAAUUCAUGUACUCUAGAGCAGAAACUUCUAUAGGUUUCUUUAUAUUCACUCCAUCAGCCCAUCGAUAUUCAUACCUUCCAUAAGUAUCAUUGAAAACCUUUAUGGUUAUUCCACAAGUAUAGAAUUCAAGAUAAUUUCAAGUGAAUUUAUACAGGGGUAUUUCACAUACUUAUGCAUUUUUUUACAUGCUCGAUGCACCGACAAAGAGGACUUGAGAGUUAAAAAUGGAGAUUGUUAAUUUUCACUCAUGCUACAACAUAAAAUACUUUAAACAAGUUAAUUUGGACAGACGUAAUUGAGCAUUAAGUUGAGAUAAGUCCUUUGUGGUAUACGUCUAGUAAGAUGUAGCUCAUGCUUGAUUCAACACUGACAAAUAAUUUUGUCAGUCUUUCAUAAGCUAGCUUAAAAAUUCAAACAAUGAUUGACCAUCACGAUGGAUAACUAUAUAUAAUAAAUCACCAAGCUAGUAACAACUAUAUUCUUAGCCCAACCACAAAGAUGUGAUUUGUGCAAAGGCACAGUAGUGCUGCUCCUAGGUUAAAAGUUCUUUAUUUAACAAGUAAAAUUACAUAUUGAGAGACGUACUUUGGUCCUGCCGACAUUUUUGGACAACUUGAUGGAGUGCAAAACUCAGUGAGGGUGCCAUACAAUAUAUUCACUUGCUUGAAAAAGUCAACAGCUGUAGCGAAAUUUAGAAAAAUAAUGGUUAGCAUUUAUCUAAAAUGUGCUUAAUAUGCAUAUUUAACUUAUUAUUAUAACAUUAAUGAGGUAUUAAAAGCAAAAAAAUAAAAUAACGAUGGCUUUUUCUGGUGAAUAAAUUGUACUGAUACCAAACAACUUAUCUUAGACUUCUCAAUGUUCGUUAGUAAAUGAUCAAAAUAAGUAAAUACAUAUGAUUUAUUGUGCAAUCAAUAAAUUGUAAAGAAACAGCGUUACAUAUGCAAUAACAUUAAUGGAGUGGAAGUAAUUGCACCCGAAAAAAGUUAAUUGAAAAAAAUUAAAAAAAUAAAUUUAAAAAUCAUUAUAAGCAGUAAUUUCACCACAACUACCAAGCAUCUAAAAAAAUUUGUUUUACCUGCCCCGCCUAUUGUUAUCCCUAUAUAUUGGCCAUUGAAAUAACACAAAAAUCAUAAUAAAGAACCUAUAAAAUGGAGACUUUGCAAUAAUAUCAUGUGUCCAUAAGGACGAAAAUUCUUACUAUUUAUAGCCAUCCACUCAUGGAGAUCUCCCCCCGGAGGUAGCCUCACUUCUUCCCUUAAAUUACCACAUCUUAAGCUAACAUUAAUGUGUUUUUUGAAUUUCUCACCCUGUAUUUGAAUAUUUAAACAAAGAUAGAAUGAGAGAAAAUUUGAAAAUAAAUGAAAUUAGUAAUUGAGGAAGUGUUCUUAGCAUUACUCUAAUCAAAUCAUUGGCUGCAAAAAUUCUGCUUAAUUGAAAACUCAAAGCAAAAAUACAAAUGCAUGCAUGUAUCCACAAAUAAGCACAACUCUUAAGUUGUGUUUGGAUGGAGGAGAAUAUUUUUCAUAAAAAUACUUUUCUAGAAAAUAUUUUUUGAUAAAAUAAGUUAAUUUCUUACAUAUUAUUUAGUGCUUUAUUAGUAAGAAAAUGUUAUCUUAAAAUAUUUAUAUCUAUCUUGAAAAAACUGUAUAGAAGUGGGAGGGGAUGAGGAGUGAGACCUGGGGAUGGCAAGGGGUGGGAUGGUCAAGAAGUAGGGGUUGGAGACGGUGGGGGUGGGGAGGAUAUAAUAAACAUAGCAUAUCAAUUACAAAACUUGUUUUCGUCACUUUUAUUAAGGAAGCUAUUUUUCUCAUUUUUUUGAAAAUUAUUUUGUAGAGAAAUAUUUUUCAAAAAUUUUAUCUAACCAAAUAUAGGAAAGUAAGAAAAUAUUUUUCACAUGCAAAACACACCCUUGAGAAGAUUAAAAAAGAAUAAUAAACAGAAGAAUUCAAACCUCAAGACAUCCAAAAGAAGUGAACCUAAGAAGCUCUUAAGGCAUUCGACUCAAUACUCUAAUUGUGUAUAAUUUUUUGAACACUAAUCUAGCCUUCAGCCUCUCAAUUGUUCCAUCGGUCUUUUGUUGUAUUUAUAGGCCCACUAUAGAUUUUCCUAGAGGAAAAGAAAUUCAAUCUCAAGUAGUAAACCCUUGACAAGUUCAAACAAAAUUAUAUAAAUUAAGCGGGCUACACCUAGCUUGCUUAUCUAAUAUCCAAUCAAAAGUAGAAAUAGUUUAGGAUUAAAAGAUAUAUCCUUCCUUAAUAAUUUGCUUGAGGAAUACUUAGGUAUGUAUUUUCUAAGAAUGUGUCAAACAUAAGAAUUGAUGAAGUUGGCCCACCAUAAAAAAAUCAAAUCUUUUAGAAAAAUAACCAAGAAUCCUCCUUUGAUUAUAAGGAUCCCUCAAUCCCAAACUACACAAAUGAUGAGGAUCUCAACCUUGAAGAUGGAACCUAGUUAUAUUUAUAUCUCAUCCAUUCUAAUUGUGUAACUAGUUACAUCUCAGAGAUAACUCUUUGGCAAACUAUUGUCAAUGUCUUUAUUAUUGAUAAAUACAUCUGGACUACAUAAAAGUUUUAUGAGUCUCAUAGCUAUAUUUGAUAUUCUUUUUAAAAUUAGAGGUGAAAAAGUUAUCAAGGAAAGGCUAUCUCAUAAAAGGACCAUGGAAGAUUAAAAAUUGUUGAUAGUUGACACGAGUUUAUAAAACAAGAAUUCUAAAUUUUGCAUAGUUAAACCAGGUCCAUAGAGCUUGUAAAUGCUCAUGAAUUUUCUUUGAAACACUUAGCUAAUAAUAGACCUCACGGCUGCUCUGUAUGAAAUAUUAUUUCGACGAAAACUUAUGCUAAUGAAGUAGAUAGUGCACAAUGGACAUAUUGAAAAGCUAUUGAUGGUAGUAGAAAAACAUUUUACCUCCUCUUACUCCUCACUUUAGCAAUAUCCCACUCAAUCUUUACCUCUAUCUUUUUUGCCCAAGACUGUUUAAUGUAGUUUUGCUUGUCUCUAGUUGUGAUAUCAUAUGCAUUUUAUUGAGGGAUCUAAGGGCUUAAAUUGGUACAUGAUUGCUUAUUAUGUUCCUCAUAGAAUAUUUUGGUUGUGCGUAUAAGAUGGCUAAUAUUCUACGAUUAACUUACUUUAUUAUUAGCAGAGGUGUACAAGAUAGUAUUAUCCAAGUGGGCAUGAGUUCAAAAUAAUAUUGCACUCGCUGUAGUUCCCUUGAGUUCUUUUGUUAUUGGUAUUUAGUGAUAGCAAAAGGGGAAAAUUAUAUGGUGCGGGUCAAAGACAUAAGGGGGGAUCUUUUGGGGGAAUAAGAGAAAUUUUUUUAUAAUGUUGAUGAUUAGCAAAGUGUUUUGAUAAUUGACAAAGUAAACCAUAAUAUAUUAUUUAACAUCAUCAAUAAGAAAAAAAUUGUCGGAAAAUAGAAAACAUACAAGUAAUUUUGAUAAUUGAUAAAGUGAGCAUGGUUCACUAUUUUUUGUCAUAUGUUUACUCUAUCAUGUUAACUAGGUCCACCUAUAUGAAUGGGAUGGCCUGAGGAUAUGAAAGAUUGCAACAAAGAAGGAAAUAAAUAGAUCACUGAAAUAAAGAAGAAAAAAUGGAAAGAGAUAAAUAGCCAAAAUAAAGAACAAAUGGAGGAAAGAAAUGAAGGAGUAAAGAUGAUGAAAUUUUUUUCUCAAGGAAGGAAAUAAGAAAUUUUAUGAGCUCAAGUCCUAUUUGAAAUAAAAGUCCUAGUCCAUAAUAUACUAGGACAUGACAAAUAUCUAGUAUAUACAUGACUUGAAGACCAUUGAGAGUCCCACCUAUUCACAAAAUUUAUCAUCUUGAGAGAAAUACUAUAACCAUUGGAUAAAAAUUAUAGGACUUCAUCAUAGAAACAUAGAAACCUGGUUCAGGAGUUGUAUUCGAUUUUGUACUGUUUAAUAUUGAAGUUUGAUAAGUUAAAGACUAAAGUUAUUAGUAUUUAUAGAGUUCACCAAUUGGAAUAAAUUGGUGAAUUAGUUUGUGUGACAUUUGGGUAGUUAAUGUUUAGAUUAUUAGUCUUUAUAGAGUUGUGAUUUCUAGUUAAGUCAAAGAUGAGAUCAUUAUGAGGUUUGUAUCAAGAAGUGAGUUUUUUCGUCUCUGAGAGUUGUUAGAACACGUAGAGUUAACUAUCGAAUUGAGGCAUUAGAGUUGCUCCCUUAAUUAUAGAAAUGUAACCUAAAACUUCUCUUUGGAGUUAGUAGAGGUUUCUGAAAUACUCACAUUUCAGAUUGUGAUUUUUUAUUCCCUUGAGAAAAAAAGUUUUUAAGGAAAAAUCAAGUGUUAUUUAAUUACUUUAUAGUCUAAUACUACUCACGGCACAAGGUUCCUAGAAAUAACGAUUGGUGCGUAAUUUUAUUUCAAUAAACAUAGAUUAUCAUGUACAGAACUUGUUAUCCCUACUUUCAUUAACAAAGUCAUUUUCUCAUUUUUAUGCAACUUGUUUUCCCAGAAAAAAAUAUUUUUUUUAUAAUUUUUUCUAAUCAAACAUGAGAAAUAAACAAAAUAUUUUCCAUAUUCUUCUUUAUACCAAACACAUAUUUAAGCAAAUAAAAAAUGAGUAAUGCAUUUUGUUAGGAGCAAAGAAUACUAAGUUAAUAUUAGGAACUAGCUUGGAACUACUUAAAUCUAAUUAGAGAUGGACCAGGAUUAGAAUGAUAUAGCUUUCCCUUGUGCAAUGAGUUUCUUAAACAAAAAUAAUAUUUGUUAAUUCUUAAGGAAAGUGGCUUGGUAUAGAAUCAAGGAUCUAUAAGAGAGGAUCGUGAGUGAAGAGGAGUUACCAUGAGAUAAAUAAAACAUUCGAACCUCAGAGCAUCCAAAAGAGAUGACCUUGUGAAACUCUAAAAGAUUUCGACUCGAUAUUGCAUAUUUUUGUGAUGCAGAUUUAACCUUCAGCCUUCAACUGCUCCAUCACCAAUUUUUUUCUGUUGUGUUUGUAGACCCACUAUUGAUUUUCUAGAGAAAUAAAACUCAAUCCAAGUAGCAAAAUCCUGUCAAAUUCAAGAAAGCUAUAUAAAUUAAGUAGGCUACACCUGGCUUACCUAUCCAAUAUGCAAUUAGAUGCAGAAAUAGCCUAGGAUUAGAAAGAUAUAGUCUUCCUGUGCAAUGAGUGUCGUAAUAUACCAAGUUGGGUUAUUUCUAAAAGGUAAUUCUCAAAGAGAGUAAUUUGACUCAUAGAAGUGAGGAUCUGAAAGAGAGGCUCAACUAUUAUAGUGAUUGAGGAGUACUUAAUAUGUGAUUGAUAAAAGACAUCUCAAGGCAUUCAAAAGAGGUGAAUUUGAGAAACUCUAUAAAGUUUAAACUUAUUAAAUACUGUAAUUGUAUAUAACUUUUGAAAAUUAAUUUAGCCUUCGACCCACAACUAUUACAUCAUCAACUUUUUAUUGUGUUUAUAGACCUACCAUUGAUUUUCCUAAAGAAAAAGAAAUUCAAUCCCAAUGUAAUAGAAAAUCCUUGAUAAACUCAAGUAAAGAAACAUAAAUUGAGUAGAUUGCAUUUAGCUUGCAAAUUCAAUAUUUAAUUAAUAGUAAAAUUGGUUUGCAUAGCCCUCUAUUUCAAUAGAAAUGUUAUCACUCAUACAUGAGAUCAAUUGGAAUUUCACUACCAACAAGGUCCACUUCCAUAAAUUUCAUACACUUGAUAGAAACAAGAAAGACAUUUACCAAUUAUCUUGCUUCUUGAUGCAAACCACUUUUUAGCACGAAAGGUCUUCUGAUUCCUUAAACAAUCAUGUGAUGAAGAAUUAAUCAAUCAAAUCAACCGAUGAUAGUAACAAAGAUUAGUGCUUUCAUUAUCAAUCAAGUCUAGAGAAAAUCCCAUUAUACCAAUUUUCAAGGACAAACAGACUCAUGAUGGAUUUAGAGAUUGUCAAAAAAUAUUAUAUAUUUUGUGCAUAUUUAAGGGAAUAAGAAACUGAGGCAUAGAUAAAGUUUUUUUGGCUGUAUAUAAAUUGCCAGCCAAGCUUACCUGGCUCUAUACAUUUUUCAUGUUUCUCAGUGCUUUCACCUUUGUACUUUCUCGAUUCCCCACCUUUAUACUAUUGCAUCUUUGGCUGUAUAUGACAUGCCAACGCCAGGCUUACCUGGCUCUAUACAUUUUUCAUGUUUCUCAAUGUUUGCAUCUUUGUACUUUCUCAUUUCCCAAUACUUGCACCUUUGUACUAUUGCAUUAAGCUUACCUAGCAUAAUGUAAUUUCAUUCAACUUUACUUUACUAAUAUUCUUAACCUUGCACACAAAUAAUAAUUAACUCUCAAGUAAUUGUUCUAUUUUAUGUGAUGUAAUUUUUGGAAAGGGUGUUCUACUAACUGCUAUAGCUCUACCCUUGAUUAAGACACCUAUAUGUCCUCUUUAUUUUGUGUAUCUAUUUCUCUUCCUUAUCAUGUUAAUAAAAAAUGACUUUUUUAUGCAUUUUUUAUAUUUCUAUUUCAUAAAGUUUAAUUUAUUAAAGCAAUCAUUUUUAUUUGUGAUUUUUAUGAGGUGUUUAAAAUAGAAAGUAGAUGACUAAUAUGAGAAGUGAAUAACAUUAUCGAAUUAUAGACUUUCUUUUGCUAUGGAGGUAAGACUAGUGAUAACACAAAAUUUUAAAUUAAGGGUGUUAAAAUAAAAAAUAAUAAAUACCAAAAGAUCACAAGAUGAUAAAUGAAAGAGGGAGAGCGUGAAGGACAGGACCAACCAUUAAGCCUAACCCACUUUCACAUUUUUUUAAUAUUUCUUUCUAUUUUUCCUACUCCGUCAAUCCAUUUUUUUAAAGAAGGUACUUUUAUUUUUUAAAUACUAUCUUAAUUUUUUUCUCACUUAUUGUAAUGACCUUGCCGGUUAUUUUUGAGAUUAUCUAUAAAAAAUUACUAUUUUGUCCUAUCGUAAGUUUUUUUGGACCUAUUAUGAACUAUCUAUAUUCUUAGAACCGAGAGUUGGUGUUUCAAAGGGAGAAAAUAUGAGUUUUGGUAUUUUUAGAAGCUUAAAUUGUUGAAAAUAUGAGUUUUUGUACCAUUCAGAGUUUCGAGUAUUGUAAUGGCAAUUUGUUGAUUCCACUAGCUCUGGAAUGUCGAAUUUGGUCUAGGAGAAGUUAUAGAACUGAAUUUGGAGUUAAAACAGAGAUUUUGGACCCAAAGUUACAUUUUCGAUUGGUUUCGGAGCCUAGUUUUAUUUUGGUCAACAUUCGAAGUUCAUAAGCUCCAAUCAAAAUUUGAAAGUUUCAAUAGUUUUGAAUGGUGAAACUAAUGCUAAAAAUGGUCUCGAGAGCAAUUUAGGUCUUUUGAGUUUUAACUAGCUUUAAAGAGCUUUAUCGGGAUUCAGGUCAAGGAGACCUUGGAAUCGAAUUUUGUUAAUUCCAUUGAGUUCAGAAUGACAUUUCUAGUAGAGAUACAUAUCCAGUUUGUGUAAAUUGGGUUCUGAACGAACUUCGAGGGUCCAUUGGAGUUGUGGAAUGGAGUUGAUUUUUCAGCAUCUGGUGCAAGAACCUUUACUCACCGCACUUCGUGGAAUGGUUUCCACAUUUGCGGAGGAGUACUCAAACUGAACUCCACAUAUGGGCUCCAUUCCCGUGUUCAUAGAGGUUAACAUUCCUUAGGCUCUGUAUUCGUGGGCCCCAUUCCCACAUUCGGAGGAGCGUAGAAUUGAGCUCCCCAUUCGUGGAACUCCUCCCCAUUCGCGAAGGCUUGCAUAUUCCUAAGAUUUGUGCUCGCAGGACUCUUUCCCAUGUUCACGGAGUAGUGAUUUACUGAAGAGUUUUAAAAUUGUGAAACAUCCAUUUUCUCUAUUUUUAACAUUUUAAGGCUUUCUUGGGUGAUUUUUGACAAGGAGUUUUAUGGGAAACUUUUUAGUAAGUCUUUCUAAGAUCUAGUUAAUUAAUUUCUAUUAUUUUUCUCUUGAUUUUAUCUUGAAUUUCAUGAUUUUGAAUGUUUAAAAUUGAGUUUUUCAUGUCUAUGUUUUGAAAACUUUGCAACGUUGAUUCCGUAUUCAAUUUGAGUUCAAUUUCAGUGGAAUUUUCACCCAAAACUCCCUUUCUCAUAUAGAUUCAUAAUUUUUAGUUUAUUUUAUGAUUUGUGAACCUCAAAUUUUAGUCCUAAUUUUGAUCAUUUUGCCCCCAGAUCCACUUCGUGCCAAUAUGGGUAUCAAGAUUCAUCUUUUGAUGCGUAGUAUCUAUUAUUGAUAGUGGUUGGUUGAUUCGAGCUCAUUUUUUAGGCUUAAAGAGUUUGAAAGCUUGGUUCGAGUAUGAUUUCGGCAUCGAGGUAGAUUCAACUAUUUUUUGAGGUUGUAUUUGAGUUAUUGAAUAUGUUUAUGUAAUAAUUGUAAGAUUUGGAUUGUUUCCUGAGUAAUUAGAUGAGUAUGACAAUAUUUUGGUAAAAAUGGCAUAUUAGUUGUAUUGAAAUCAGAGUAAAUUGAGAUAUUGUUGGCAAAUUGAGAUAUGUCUUUGGUAAUCGAGAUAUGUUCUAAUGUUAUUGUGAUAAUAUGAGACUUGUGAUGUUAUUUUAGAAACAUUAUGGUAAAUGAUGGUAUUUGAGAUACUUUCUGGGACUUAUGUGCAUAUUCUGGGACUUACGAAUUCCAGUGUUAUCGGUAUAUUCAGUAUUGGUAAAAUGUGGUGAUUGAAACAUGUUGAUGGCUUAUGGUAGCGGUUGAAGCACUUGCUUUCCCUUUUUGAUUCUAUGAUCAUUAUUUAUCGGUUAUCUAAUUAUAUUAUUGUCAUAUAUAUUGAUUUAUAGCAUCUGCAUGCAUUCAUUUCAUAUCGCAUUUGUAUCACCCCUUGACCAAGGGUAGGUGGUAAGAUUGAGAUAUUAUAACACCUUUUUAAGACCCCUUGACCAUGGGCAGGUGGCACGGAGGAGAUUGUAUCACUUUUUAAAACCCCUUGACCAUAGGCAGGUGGCAAGGUUGAGAUAUUGUGAUAUUCCUUGACCAUGGGCAGGUGACAAAGUUGAGAUAUUUCUGUAUAUGAUCUGACGAGACCCCCACGGUUUCUACCUGGUAGCCUUAGCUCAGUAGAUGUGUACACCAAUUGUAUGGCAUUCGUGAUUUCACCCCAUGAAUUGCAUUUAUUCUUACAUCUGCACUGCAUCAUAAAUAUACUUAAAUUUAUUUAUGUAUAUAUUAUGCACUAACCUUUUCAUUGUAUGUAAGAGGGGAUCUUAGUUAUUGCAUGCUUAUUCGAUUUCUCCUACCCAAUCAGUUAAACCUACCGGUACAUUUCAGUAUACUUAUGUUUCCUCCCUACAGAUCUAGCACAAGCACUCUCAUGUUGUAGUUAACUAAUUUGGGCAGAGUUUUCUUACCUUGUCCAUAUUACAAUGGUGAGACUCAAAUUAUCGGUUGCCUUCUGCUAUUAAGACCUUCUUUUGUUGUUCCUCCCAUAUCAGACUUGUAUUUUCUUUAUGAGACAACUUUGUAUUUACUUUUCAUACUUUUGAGUGCUCUUGUACUCAUUACUCCAUAUUUUGAAAAAUUUAAGUUGAAUGUUAUGGUUAUUUUAUUUUAGUUUUUCCUUCUUUAGUCGCAAUCUGGUUUUGGGUCGUUAAAAAUUUAGUUUCCGAGAUCUAGGUUCGUUGGAGUCAUGAGUAAGAGCAGGGUGUCUAGUAAAGUCUCGCAAAUAAAUAUGUAGACGUUCAUACCCAUCUUCAGCAGGUACAGGGCACUGAUAGGAAAAAUUUUAGUCCUCUUUCCAUUCGUGUACUUCUUCAUAUCAACUGUUUUGAAUGUAUCUAAUCUAGUCCUUCUACAGAUGUCGAUGACUAGAGCUCAAUAGUUGGUAGUGAGUCUGAGCCUGCUAAUAUGGCCUCCACCCGUGGUCGAGGUAGGGCUUAUGGUAGGGCCAGGGGUCAUGGACUUAGUAGAAGAGUAGCUUCACCUAGGGGACAGGAUAGAGUAGCUUCACCAUAGCCUGAGUAUGAGUUUGAGGGACCUACAAACCCUGUUCCAUCACCUUCAGUCCCAAAUGCCAAGCCUUCAGUUCAGAAACUACUUCUAUGUGUAUUGGCCAGACUUGAGAGAGCUUCUUCGACUCCCGUUAUUCUCGAUACACCAGUUCCUACAGUACCAGUUGUCCUUCUUCAACUCCAGUUAUUAAAAAGAUUAAAUAAAAGUUCGGUUCUUCAGUGCACCAAAGUUUUAAAAUCCUUAUACCGAAUCGAAAAACCAAACUUUUGAAAAAAAGAACAAUAAAAUUGAACAAAACAAACCAAAGAACUGAAAUCGAAGAGACGAAUUAGUUUGGUUCAAUUUGAUUUUUUUAUUUUUUGAUAUUUAUGCCCACCCCUACUUUGGAAUAAUCUUUAUACUGUUAGUUUCAAUUACAAUGGUCCUUGGCUUAUGUGUGGUGAUUUUAACCAAGUGAUGCAUCAAGAUGAGAAAUGAGGAGGGCGUCCUAUUAAUCCUACUAGAGCUAACAGUUUCUCUACUUACAUGCACAAUGCAGGCUCCUCGACCUAGGCAUUAAAGGGUCUAAAUUCACAAUUCCCCUUAUUUCCCCUCCAACCACUUCCUUAUUAAUCUGGAAAAAGAGCUUAGACAAGAAUAUGACAAUAUUUUACGCAUUGAAGAAGAUUAUUGGUGCAUGAGAUCUAGAAUUAAUUGGAUUAACGAUGGGGAUGCGAACAUUAAGUUUUUUCACCUCUGCAUCCUCAAUAGACAUAAGAUUAAUAGAAUCAUGAGCUUUGUUGACGAUAAUGGAAAUACAAUUACAGAUCAAACUUCUAUUUUAUCCUAUACUUUUGAGUAUUUUCAAAAUAUUUUUACUACCAUCCAUAAGGAACCUCCCAGAUAUUAUUUCCAUAAUCGCCUAUCUUUUCAUAAAAUUGACCUUUUUGUAUUGGACAAACCCCUCCAAGACACUGAAAUUAAUCUUGCUCUUAACUCUUUUCAUCCUUUCAAGGUGCUAGGCCCUGAUGGUCUUCAUCCCUUCUUUUACCAAAAUUAUCGAGACCUCCUAAGUUCUUCAGUUAAAAAGUUUUGUCAUGAAGUUUUUGAUAGUGGGCACAUUCCUGACGAAAUCAACCAGACUCACCUUCGUCUCAUCCCAAAGUUUGCCAACGCCAAUAAUCUGAAAAACUUUCAACUUAUUGGUCUUUAUAACACUAUUUAUAAAAUCAUCACCAAGAUCAUUGUAAAUCGUAUAAAACCAUUCCUUCCUAAUCUCAUCAGCCCCUUCUAAGCCAGUUUCAUUACUGGUAGGAACCCUUAGAUAAUGCCAUCAUUAUCCAAGAAAUUAUUAAAAAAGUUCGUAACUCCAAAGGGGCGAAAGGUAGUUUUAUGUUUAAAUUAGACCUCCAAAAGCUUUUGAUAAGCUUGAAUAGUCCUUUAUCCAUAGAACACUAAUAUAUUUCAAGUUCCCUCCCAAAAUCACCUCUCUUAUUCUCAAUUGUAUCACUAACAGUUCUAUUGCUAUUCUCAUAAAUGGUACUAGGACCAACUUUUUCAACCAACUAGAGGAAUCCGGCAGGGAGAUCUUAUGUCCCCUUAUAUAUUCAUUCUUUGCAUGGAAGUGCUCUCCAACAAUAUUAAUCACCAGGUGGACAUUCUCAACUAGAUCCCAUCAUGCUUAAUCCUAGGGGUCCCCAAAUCUCUCACCUCUCUUUUACAGACGACCUCACCCAUAUAGGUACAACUUCCAGUCACACCAUUUCUAGUAUACAUCACUAUAUGGAACUCUUUUGUAAUCUUUCUGGAAAGACUAUUAAUAGGACCAAGUCCAAGCUCAUUGUAUCCAAAAAUUGCUCCUCUAAUUUUCCCAAACUUAUUAAAGACUCCUUCAAUAUCAACCUCUCUUCUAAGUUUGGACGAUAUCUAGGCUAUCCUAUUUUUCAUAAAAAUUUGACUCCCAAGGAUUUUAAUUUUAUUUUAGAUAGUACGAACAGGAAAUUAGCAAGUUGGAAAACCAACUUUCUUACCCUGGCUAGUCGCACUACUUUGGCUAAAUCAACUCUUAACUCUAUUCUUACUUAUUACAUGACCUACUUCAACUAGCCUACGUCGACCCUAAGCAAAAUUGAUAAGAUCUAGUGAGACUUUAUUUGGGGUAGCACCAUUCUCAGGAGGAAAAUUCACUAUCUCAAUUGGGAGAUGAUUAUCAAACCCAAUAAAGAUGGAGUUGUUAAUCUUAUCAAAGCUAACCACAAAAAUAAAACCAUGCUUGGUAGCCUAGCUUGGAGACUUUUCUAAGAUUCAAAUCAGCUUUGGGCCAAGUGUCUGAUUAGCAAAUACUAUAAGAGGAACACCCUUUCAAACAAGGGCGCCUUUAUUUGGAAAAACAUCCUUAAGGGUUGGGAUACUUACAGCAAGGGUAUUAGUUGGGUCAUUACAAAUGGGAACAAUGUUAGUUUGUGGAACCAUAACUGGAUAUCCCCUAAUACGAACCUUAGAACCCUCAUUGAUGGCCCUCUCCUUAGAGAUGAUCCUCAUAAGAGGGUUGCAAAGUUAUCGAUAACGGUCUAUGGAACUUAAGAAAUCUCAUUUUUUUGCUGCCUGGCAAUAUUAUGGACCAUAUCACCUCUAUCACCAUCCAUAAGGAUAUGGGCCAGGAUUUUUUCAUUUGGUCUCCUAACCCGAAUGGCCUCUUCACUAGAGUUUCAUUAGGAAAAUAUUGCAACCUACCUCUAUUGGUUAUGGCUAUCAUUGGAUCUAGAAACUUAAAACUCUUAAUAAAAUUAAGUUUUUGCUAUGACAGUGCUCUCACCAUAGGAUUCCCACCAAUAUUUUUCUCCAUACUAUGCAUAUCAUUUCCAAUAGCUUAUGCCAAGUUUGUAAAGUUGAACUAGAGUGCCUGACCCACAUGCUUAUUCAAUGCCCCAUAGCAACUAGUUUUUGGGAUCACUAUCAAGUUAAUUUUGCAGAAGAAAUUACUGUCAACCUCGACUAUCUUUUAGCUAUCAAAACAAUAAUCAUGUCAUACCUAAUCCUCUUAUCAAAUGGGAGAUUUUUUUUCCUUUUGCCAUCUGGCACAUCUGGAAUGCUAACAUUUUCAAUGACAAACUCUCCCAUGAAUUACAACCACCUGAAACAUAAAGUCAUUGAGUUUACCUUCUCCUCUAACUCUAUAGUCCAUGUUUCUGCCCCUAGUCUCUUUGUUCUCAUCAAAGGUACCCUCCAUCCUCUGAAGCUCUCAAACUUAACAAUAAUGGUUCCUACAAUAGUACCACAAAGACAGGAGGCAUACGCGGUGUCUUUAGAGACUCUACAGGAUGAUGGAAGUUGGGAUUUCAUAAAAAAAUUUUGGCCGUCAACCAUACUCUAUGGAACUCAUGGCUCUUUUUCAUGGUCUCAAUAUUGCUAUGGAGUAACAUUUGUACCAUCUGAAAAUUGAAACUGAAUCUACUAAGGUAAUCCGUCUUAUACAUGAAAAUAUUAUCCACUUGUUUAACUUUCUAAUAUUCGAAUGCAGAUCAUUGUUAAAGAAAAUGGGGAAUUCGCGGAUCCACCACAACUUCUAUGAAGACAAUAAAGUAGCCAACCUCCUCGCAUCUCAGGCAGCACUUCUGGAAGACAUGGAUAAUGUAGUCCUUUUAUUGUACCCACCUCAGUGAUCAAGACGGACAUUAUAUGAAAAAAACAGUCCCCCUUACUAGUGCUACUAAUCUAGUUUCUAUGGCUAAUCUUACUAUCUGUAAUAUCAUGAAUAGCAAUAUGAAAGUGGGUAGCAGUAGCAACUGCAAUAUUAUGUGUACUAGGGAGGUGGAAAGCUAUGUAUUAACUACUUAAUAUGAAUAAAAUAUUUUUCGUUCAAAAAAAAAAACAUUAUUGUUUAUAUUUUAUUCUUUCAUUUUUCAAUUUGUGGAAUGAUUUUUAAUUUAUUUAUAUUAAUUUUCUAAUUAUAUUCAAAUCAUCAUGUAAAAAUUUAAUCAUAUAAAUAUUUAAUAUUUAUCACUUUUCAAUAAAUAACGUAUAAUGAUGAUNNNNNNNNNNNNNNNNNNNNNNNNNNNNNNNNNNNNNNNNNNNNNNNNNNNNNNNNNNNNNNNNNNNNNNNNNNNNNNNNNNNNNNNNNNNNNNNNNNNNNNNNNNNNNNNNNNNNNNNNNNNNNNNNNNNNNNNNNNNNNNNNNNNNNNNNNNNNNNNNNNNNNNNNNNNNNNNNNNNNNNNNNNNNNNNNNNNNNNNNNNNNNNNNNNNNNNNNNNNNNNNNNNNNNNNNNNNNNNNNNNNNNNNNNNNNNNNNNNNNNNNNNNNNNNNNNNNNNNNNNNNNNNNNNNNNNNNNNNNNNNNNNNNNNNNNNNNNNNNNNNNNNNNNNNNNNNNNNNNNNNNNNNNNNNNNNNNNNNNNNNNNNNNNNNNNNNNNNNNNNNNNNNNNNNNNNNNNNNNNNNNNNNNNNNNNNNNNNNNNNNNNNNNNNNNNNNNNNNNNNNNNNNNNNNNNNNNNNNNNNNNNNNNNNNNNNNNNNNNNNNAAGUGGGUAGCAGUAGCAACUGCAAUAUUAUGUGUACUAGGGAGGUGGAAAGCUAUGUAUUAACUACUUAAUAUGAAUAAAAUAUUUUUCGUUCAAAAAAACAAACAUUAUUGUUUUAUAUUUUAUUCUUUCAUUUUUCAAUUUGUGGAAUGAUUUUUAAUUUAUUUAUAUUAAUUUUCUAAUUAUAUUCAAAUCAUCAUGUAAAAAUUUAAUCAUAUAAAUAUUUAAUAUUUAUCACUUUUCAAUAAAUAACGUAUAAUGAUGAUGAUAAUAAUAAUAAUAAUAAAUUUUUUGAUAUAAUUAGUUGCAGGUAAUAAAAGUUUUUGUAAAUUUUAAUAAAACUUUUGAUACGUCGAAUUUGAGGUUAAUGUUAUCGAUUUGAGUACAUAAAUUUAUUUUUCGUUAUUAGUCUCUUAUUACCAGGAGCAAAUAAAGAAACAAAAAAAUUUAAAGAAAUAAUAAUUUUAUAUUAAUAUAAUUAAAUUUGUUAAAUAAUAAUUUUACGUUAUAUAUUAAAACAUAAUUUUAAAAUAAAUUAUAUAUCAAUAUAAUUAAAUUUUAAUAUAAUGAUUUAAAUAUAAUUAUAAAUCAAUCCAAAUAAAUCAAAACUCAUUCCACAAAUAAAAAUAUAAAAAUCAUAGCGUAUAAAACGUAAAAUAAAAGCCACUUUUAAGUGGAGGAAAAUUGUGAGGACUUUCUCACCAUAUAUUAUUCUCCAACUGAGUUCAUCUCUUCCUCAAUUAACUAUGCAAAUACAGAAAACAUUGUUACUCAUGUAGUAAAAGACAUUGUUAAGCAGUAAUUCUUAUACUUGAAAAGAAAAAGAUAAACAAGAGAAAUCUUUGACUCGUUUGGACAAAUAUUUGUCUAUAUUAAAUAUAUGUCGGUAAUAAUUUUUGACUAGGUCAAUGUAGCUAAUAUUUUAUAAAAUAUUAAUUUAGCUUAACUAAUGGAAUCUUAUAAGCAGAUUACUAAUAAUUUUACCUUUGCCGGUGAUUAAAUUAUCGCUAAUAAUUAAUGUUUUUCCAAUUAAAAUGUCAAGAGUCAUAGGAUGAACCAAAUGAACUCGACCAUAUACAAAUCUAGAAUACAAUUUUUGAAUAGGGGCUUUUUUUAACAUAUAAAUUUAAAAUGAAAAAAGAUGCACGUAUUUUGUUUGUUAGGUAGAUAAAAAUUCAAAAUAAAUAUAAAACAGGAAGAAACGAGUAUAAUAAUUUGAGAAAUAAAAACAGGUACCGUCAAAAAUCGAUGCAAAUCAAUUGUAUUUACAAUUAUAUUAAUUAUUUAUUCAAAGUUUAAAGGCACAAAGUAAAAACUUUCUAAAAAAAGCGUUGAACCAAAUUGAUUCUUUUAUAAUUCUAUUUCUCAAGAUACAACGUGUUCUCAAAUUUUAAAGAAAAGAACUAAAAAAAACUCUGUAAGUUUCAACAUUUUAAUUAUCUUUUUUUAUUAAUAAAAUAAUAAGGAUCCGCUUCAUCAUGAAAAUUUUAGUUAUGAAGGCAAUACUAAUAUAAAAAUGAAUUACAUAUGGAAAAAUCUUUUAUAGGAGGUGUUAAUCUUGAAUGAGUGUUGUCUAAUGUAGUUUCGGAUUAAACGCGUUCAAAUACAGAUACUAAAUAACAAAUGAAGAAAUAUAGAUACUAAAUAACAAAUGAAAAAGCUAUGUAGUGGAGUAAUUAAACUAGGAGAGGUUGAUUACUUCUCCCAUACAAAAUAAAUACGGAAAAAAGAUAUAAAAACUGAAUUACAUAUGGAAAAAUCUUUUAUAGGAGGCGUUAAUCUUGAAUGUGUGUUAUCUAAUGCAGUUUCAGAUUAAACGCACUCAAAUACAGAUAUGAAAUAACAAAUGAAGAACCACAGAUACUAAACAACAAAUGAAGAAACUAUGUAGUGGAGUAAUUAAACUAGGAACUUGGAGAGGUUGAUUACUAUUGGAAGUCUACCAUAUUGUGAUUGUAGUUAGUAGUAGGUUAAGUAGUUGAUGAUGUAGCUAAUGAAUAUGUUAGUUAGUUAAAGUGUUAGUUAGAGAAGAAAUUGUAUGUAGGUAUACAUAUAGUAGUUAGAGUGAUUUUUCAUUAAUAUAUAUAUAUAUAUAUAUGUAAAGUACUGUACAGAUGAAAUAUACAGAACAUUUCUUUCUCUCCAAUCCUCUUCUUCUCUGCGAUCUUUCUCUCUCAAUUCUCUCAACUCUUUUCAUGGUAUCAGAGCGGGAGUGAGGCAUUCUUUGAUCCCUCAGCUCACUCGAUCAAUUGUCAAUAGUAAUCGAUCAAUUCGAUGGCGACGAUGGCGGAUUCGACUACCAAUGCAACUGCCGAAACAGCAGAGCAAGUGGAAACCCUAGAUCAUGUUGAGAGAAGGAGGAAUCACCCUCUGUAUCUGCACAACUCUGACACUCCAGGAAGCAUUCUCACAAGUGUUCAAUUGACAGGAACGGAGAACUAUUCACUGUGGAGUAGGUCGAUGUUGAUUAAUCUCCGAGCCAAGAGCAAAUUGGGCUUUGUGCUUGGAACCUGUUAGAAGGGCGAUUACAGAGGAGAGAUGGAGGAGCAGUGGGAAAAAUGCAAUGCAUUUGUGCUUGCAUAGAUAAUGAGCACGGUCUUAAAGGAGCUUCUCAGCAGCAUUGUUUUAUGCUACUGAUGCGACGAUGGUCUGGGCUGACCUAAAGGAGAGGUUCGACAAGGUAGACGGAUCUAGAUGUUAUCAAUUGCAUCGGGACAUCUGCACACUUAGUCAAGGUACAAUGUCGGUCUCUGCAUAUUUCAGUAAGUUCAGAUUAUUGUGGGACGAGUUUGAUGCAGUGGUUCCACCACCAUCAUGUAAUUGUAACAAGUCUAGAUCCUAUAUUGAUCAUAUUGCUUGCCUGAGAUUAUUUGCAUUCCUGAUGGGGUUAAAUGAAGUAUACACUCAUGCACGCAGUCAGAUUUUGAUUAUGAAUCCUUUGCCUACUGUGCGAAAGGCAUAUGUCAUAAUUAUGGCAGAUGAGAGUCAGAGAUUGACUGCCAGUUUAAACAUAGGGAAUGUCAUGCCAGAACAGCUUGCUUUGUAUGCAGGGAAGGGACAACUUCCUAAGAAGUUUCAGCCUAGGAAGAAGAAUUGGGAUUAGAUUUGUGGCUACUGCAAGCUACAAGGUCAUAUAAAAGAGGAAUGCUACAAGUUGAAUGGCUAUCCACCUGACUGGAAGUUCAAGAGAAAGCCAGGGACACCAGCAAACUCAAUGCGACAUAAUAGGUACCAGGACACAGUGAAUACAGUGAACCAUGUGCCUACUGCUAGGACUAAAAUGGAGUUAAGGGAUGGCUUUGUACCUAUUGAUACUAUGAUGAAAGGAAAGAGUACAGAGGCAGAUACAUCACUGCACACACAACCAACUUUUACUCCAAGUCAAUAUAACAAGAUCCUAUAUAUGUUGGAGAGGGAGGAAUCAGGCACAAGCACAGGCAAAACAUCAGAUGCUAUGGCCAAUAUGGCAGGUAUGACUACUGCUUUAUCUGCUAAAUCUGAUAACACACAGUUCAGGGCAGACACAGGAAAAGAAAGUUGGAUAGUUGAUUUAGGGGCUAUAUAUCAUAUGACUUGCAAAUAGGAUAGGCUCUCUCAUGCAUAUAGUUGUGUCAAUAAGGUAGUGCAUUUACCUAAUGGUGAGGUUGCACAGGUGUCACAAACUGGUCUUUGUAACACAAUGCAUGGGAAGACAUUAGACAAUAUAUUGGUGGUGCCUGCUUUCAAGCAUAAUCUACUCUCAGUGUCUAAGUUGACAAGGCAAUUACAUUGCUCAGUUAACUUCUUUCCUGAGUUUUUUGUGCUUCAGGAUCUCUCUACUGGAAGGGUGAAGGGGAUUAGUAAAGAGAAUGGAGGACUUUAUUAUCUUCCAGCUACAUCACCAUGUGAAGAUACUACUGACAAAGGGAAUCAAGCUGUGAUGACUGCUACCUUAAAGUGCUCUAGCAGGGAUAAGAUAUUAUGGCACAGAAGGUUGGGUCAUCCAUCUAGAUAGGCAUUGCAGCACCUGUUCCUAGACAAGCAUAUUAGUAAGAAUAAUAAUUGUAAUAAGUGUUUUAUUUGCUCACUUGCCAAACAAACUAGACUGCUCUUUCCAUUGAGCAUGACUAGGGCAUUAGCUAAGUUUGAUUUGAUCCAUUUGGAUGUGUGGGGACCUUAUAGAGUUGCUACUCACAAUGGUUUUAGAUUCUUUUUAAUAAUUGUUGCUGACUAUUUAAGAAUAUGCUGGUUGUACCUAUUGAAGUUGAAAAGUGAUGUAUUUUCAAUAUUGAAAUCUUUCUUAGCAAUGGUGAAAACUCAGUUUGGCAGUAAUGUGAAGAGGGUAAGGAGUGACAAUAGUACAGAAUUUUUAAAUAAUGACUGCUGUAAUCUGUUUCAGUCCCUUGGUAUUAUUCAUGAAAGUAGUUGCCCUCAUACUCCACAGCAAAAUGGAGUGGUUGAGAGAAAACACAGACAUAUCCUUGAGGUGGCUAGGGCCAUUAGAUUUCAAGGUCAUAUUCCCAUCAGAUUUUGAGGGGAAUGUGUAUUGAUUGCUGUGUAUCUGAUCAAUAGACUUCCUACUUCAGUCUUACAAGGAAAGUCUCCAUUUGAGUAAUUUGAUAGGACUAGACCAAACCUUGAUCACUUGAGAGUCAUUGGUUGUCUGUGUUAUGCAACCAACAUGGUCAAGCAUGACAAGUUUUCUCCUAGAGCAGAGGCCUGUGUGUUGAUGGGGUAUUCACCAACUCAGAAGGGAUACUUGUUAUACAGUUUAUCACAGAAGAAUUCAUUGUUAGCAGUGAUGUGAUAUUCAAGGAGGAUAUGUUUCCAUUCACUCAGGUGCACAACAAGCAGCAAGAACCAUUAUUCCCUGCAGAACCAGUCCUAUUAUCAGAUGAUAUUUCUAUUCUUGAUGAAGAUAGACUCCCUGCACUUAAUCCAGUUGAUGACAUAGAGGACCCCAUAGCCUUGAGUGAUGCACUAAAACUAUAGAAGACUGAUAGUGAUGGAAAUUCUGUUGCUCAACCUGAUGAUGAUGUUGUGAUUGAAGUAGAGGCUCAACCUAGUAGUGUGGAGAUUGACGAAGAGGCUUCAGUCAGAAAAUCCACCAGGAUUUCUCAUCCUCCUAUAUGGAUGAAGGAUUAUUUGCCACAAGCAUCCAAGUCAUAUUAUUUUCAUGAACCUAAGAAUUUUGAAGAAGCAAUCAAGGACAAGAGAUUGGUAUAUGCUAUGCAACAAGAGGUUCAAGCACUAGAGGAGAAUGAAACAUGGGAAAUAGUUGAAUUACCUCAAGGGAAGAAUAUUGUAGGGUGUAAGUGGGUGUUCAAAAUCAAAUAUAAGGCUGAUGGACAAGUUGACAGGUUCAAGGCUAGGCUGGUAGCCAAGGGGUACAGUCAGGCUGAGGGCAUUGACUAUCAGGAAACAUUUUCUCCUGUAGUCAAGAUGACAACAGUCAGGACUGUUAUAGCCAUAGCUGCUGCUCAAAGAUAGAACAUCUUUCAAAUAGAUGUUUUCAAUGCCUUUCUACAAGGAGACUUGCUUGAGGAAGUCUAUAUGGAGUUACCAAAAGGAUUCUAUGGAGCUGAGAAGAGUAAAACCUUGUAUGUAAGCUAGUAAAAUCACUUUAUGGACUUAAACAAGCCUCUAGACAGUGGAAUGCUAAGCUGGCUGAGGCACUUCUAAGCUCAGGAUAUUCACAAAGUCAUUUGGACUACUCUUUAUUCACAAAGAAGAAGGAGGACAGAAUGGUGAUAGCAUUGGUGUAUGUAGAUGACCUUCUGAUCACAGGAAAUGAUGCAGUACUAAAUACAAAAACCAAACACACUCUACACAGCCACUUCAAGAUUAAGGACUUGGGGGAGCUUAAGUAUUUCUUGGGCAUUGAAUUCAUGAGGUCCAGUGAGAACUAAGCCUUACAUAAUACCUUUAGACUGCACAUAGAAGUUGACAAGUGUUGAGAUUGAUUCAAAAUCAGACAGCCUAUAUGAGGAUGUGCCAAGAUAUCAGAGACUGGUAGGCAAGCUGCUUUAUCUCACAAUUACCAGGCCCCGAUAUAGGUUUUGUAGUGCAGUUGUUGAGUCAAUUUAUGCAGAAGCCUAAGGUGUCACAUUGGAAGGCUGCUUUAAGGGUAAUCAGGUACAUAAAGUUGGAACCUGGAAAAGAGUUGCUCAUGAGAUCAAGUCAGACAUUCCAACUCACUGGCUAUUGUGAUGCAGAUUGGGCUGCAUGCCCAAGCACAAGGAGGUCAAUUACUGGUUUCAUUCUCAAGUUUGGUGGUUCUCCUAUCUCUUGGAAGUCCAAGAAGCAAAACACAGUUUCUAGAAGCUCUACAGAAGCAGAGUACAGGAGUGUUGCAUCUUUGACAGCUGAAGUUGUGUGGGUUGCAAGGUUAUUCAAGGAAUUAGGUGUCAUACUGAUAGAGCCAAAACUGAUUUACUGUGACAACAAAUCAGCCUUGCAAAUUGCUGCCAAUCUUGUGUUCCCUGAAUGUACUAAACAUAUCGAAAUAGAUUGUCACUUUAUUAGAGAGAAGAUACAACAAGGACUCAUCAAAACAGUGUAUAUCAGUAGCAAAAAUUCAGCAGGCCAACCUACUCACUAAGGCAUUAGGCCGGACAUAACAUGAUCUUUUAUUGAGCAAGCUUGGAUUGUUGAAUAUCUUCAAUGCAUCCAGCUUGAGGGGGAGUAUUGGAAGUCUACCAUAUUGUGAUUGUAGUUAGUAGUUGGUUAAGUAGUUGAUGAUGUAGUUAAUGAAUAUGUUAGUUAGUUAAAGUGUUAGUUAGAGAAGAAAUUGUACGUAGGUAUACACAUAUUAGUUAGAGUGGUCUUUCAUUAAUAUAUAUAUAUAUAUAUAUAUAUAUAUAUAUAUAUAUAUAUAUAUAUAUAUAUAUAUAUAUAUAUAUAUAUAUAUAUAUAUAUAUAUANNNNNNNNNNNNNNNNNNNNNNNNNNNNNNNNNNNNNNNNNNNNNNNNNNNNNNNNNNNNNNNNNNNNNNNNNNNNNNNNNNNNNNNNNNNNNNNNNNNNNNNNNNNNNNNNNNNNNNNNNNNNNNNNNNNNNNNNNNNNNNNNNNNNNNNNNNNNNNNNNNNNNNNNNNNNNNNNNNNNNNNNNNNNNNNNNNNNNNNNNNNNNNNNNNNNNNNNNNNNNNNNNNNNNNNNNNNNNNNNNNNNNNNNNNNNNNNNNNNNNNNNNNNNNNNNNNNNNNNNNNNNNNNNNNNNNNNNNNNNNNNNNNNNNNNNNNNNNNNNNNNNNNNNNNNNNNNNNNNNNNNNNNNNNNNNNNNNNNNNNNNNNNNNNNNNNNNNNNNNNNNNNNNNNNNNNNNNNNNNNNNNNNNNNNNNNNNNNNNNNNNNNNNNNNNNNNNNNNNNNNNNNNNNNNNNNNNNNNNNNNNNNNNNNNNNNNNNNNNNNNNNNNNNNNNNNNNNNNNNNNNNNNNNNNNNNNNNNNNNNNNNNNNNNNNNNNNNNNNNNNNNNNNNNNNNNNNNNNNNNNNNNNNNNNNNNNNNNNNNNNNNNNNNNNNNNNNNNNNNNNNNNNNNNNNNNNNNNNNNNNNNNNNNNNNNNNNNNNNNNNNNNNNNNNNNNNNNNNNNNNNNNNNNNNNNNNNNNNNNNNNNNNNNNNNNNNNNNNNNNNNNNNNNNNNNNNNNNNNNNNNNNNNNNNNNNNNNNNNNNNNNNNNNNNNNNNNNNNNNNNNNNNNNNNNNNNNNNNNNNNNNNNNNNNNNNNNNNNNNNNNNNNNNNNNNNNNNNNNNNNNNNNNNNNNNNNNNNNNNNNNNNNNNNNNNNNNNNNNNNNNNNNNNNNNNNNNNNNNNNNNNNNNNNNNNNNNNNNNNNNNNNNNNNNNNNNNNNNNNNNNNAUAUAUAUAUAUAUAUAUAUAUAUAUAUAUAUAUAUAUAUAUAUAUGUAAAAUGUGUACUGUACAGAUGAAAUAUACAUAACAUUUCUUUCUCUCCAAUCCUCUUCUUCUCUGAUAUCUCUCUCUCUCAAUUCUCUCAACUCUCUUCAAUUACUUCUCUCAUAUAGAAUAAAUACAAGAAAAAGAUAUAAAAUUUUCUCUGAAUUUAUCUCAAGAAGUCAGUUACAUGUUUAAAUUGUUAUGAUGAUCUACUACACUUAUUUACUAUUUAAAAGUAAAUUUAUUUACUUCCUAACAGUUUAGAUGGUUGUUAUAUAUAUAUUGUUUCAUAAUGUAUUGUACUGUGUUGUAAUGUAUUGUACUGUAUUAUUUUAAUAGAUACAAUGUUUGGACAAAUUGUAUUAUUCUCCAUUAUUACAUAAUGUCAUACAUUCAUAAUUUGGAUGAUAAACCUACAAGAAAUUGUAGGUAUGUAGUAGAUAUCAUGAAAAUAUAGGAUAAAUAAUAAAAUAGAAUUAUUAAAUAAUAAAUAAAGUAAAAAAUGAGAAGAUAUUAUUAAAGUAACGACACAACCACACCAAAUCGGUUGUUACAUAAAAUGGGUCUCUUUCCAUCGUUACUUAACAAUGAAUUUAAACGAUACAAUACAAUAAAAUUUAAAUAAUAAUCAGAACAAAUAUGAUUUUUAAACGAACAAUCAAUACAAUACAAUGGGUAAUAAUCAUCCAAACAAGGGGUAAAACUAUCGUGGCAAAAAGUGAAAAAAAAAUUACAAAACGCAUUUGGUAAAAAUAAAGUUCAAAAAAUAAAUCAAAAUCAUCUUUCCACCCCCUCUUCCUUCACCCCCAACCCCACGCCUCUUCUUCACACCCCACCGAGGUCGUCAUCUUCUUCUUCAUUUUUUCGAAAAAAUUUUCAUCACCUUUCAUGCUUCGAUUUUCAUUAGCCCCAUCCCACCCCACUCACCCUCGCCUCCCCCAAAAUCCUCUGCCCCUCUCACGUAUCAUAUCUUAUUUUAAUUUUUAUUCGAUUUUAUCAUCUCCAUUAUACUUGAUUUUUCUCUUCGACUUUAUUGUUGAUUGAUAAAAUUGAUGAUUAAGUUUAAAAAAUAAAAUAUAAUGAUGGAUUUGUUGGUAAUGGGUGGUAUAUGGUGGUGAAAAGGAAGAAAUUGAUAUUAAUAAAGGUGGCAUGGUGAUAUUUGGUAAGAAAUUGAUAUUAAUAAAGGUGGCAUGGUGAUAUUUGGUGAUGAAUUUGUACUUUUUGGCAGUGAUUAUGUGAUUGUGGUGAGGCAUUCGACUAUGAGUAGCAUUGAAUUUGAUGGUGGUUAUUUACAAUUUUUGUGGGAACACGGAUGAUAGUGCUAUUUUGAUAGUGGAUUUGAUCGCAGAUGAUGAAUUUGUGGCGGCUAUUUUAAUUUAUGGUGAAAUAUAUGAAUUUGGUGCUAAUAUAGUGGCAAUGGGAGUAGUUUCAUGGUGGUGUCAUUGAAGAAGAAGCAAAUGAAUUAAUGACAUGGAGAAUUUUUUUUAAAUCUAACAUGGCAUUUGACAUGACAUGAGAUGAAUUAAUAUGGUGUAAGCGCGAUACACUUCCUAUUGUAAGAAUGAUGUUAUAUAUCUCUGGAUAUAAAUAAGUUCACUUUUGAAUAAUAUAGAUAUGUAAUAGAUAACUAUGAUUGUUUAAGCGUAAAAAUAAUUUUUUGAGACAAAUUCAAAAAUAAAUUUAUGUUUUUUUCCAAAUAAAUACGUGUUGAUGUAUGCAAGUGCGGGAGCAGCUAGUCCUGACUUCCAUGAAAUUCAUAGGGGCAACUCUAUGCUUCAAAAAAUAAGGCAUAUGACUUAGGCCUUCAAUUUUUGAGGCCCUAACUUUUUUUUAUUAAAAAUUAACGUCUUAAUCUUUUUUUAGAAAAAAAUAAUUGCUUAUAAACUUUUUAUCAAACUUUAUGAUCUUAGCUCAUAUUUUUAAUUAAAAUUUUUUGUCAAUUUAUUACUUAUAGAAUUAUAUUAGCAAUUAAUGUAACGAUUGUCUCAAAGUGGAAGGAUAUGUUUUAAUAUUAAAUUAAUAAAAUCUCACCUAACACUAAUAAUUUAAAAAAUAUAGAUAUUCGGAAAAAAAAUAUUAAGUAAUAAUGUACACCUAAAAAGUUAGAAAAAUAAAUACACAUGAAGUUUAUUUAGAUAGUUGGCCUCUAAUUAAAAUUUUAUUUUAGAUCUUCAAUUACGUUAAAUCAUGACUUCAGAAAGUUUAAUUGACUACUCUUUAAAUUUGAGUCGAGUCUGAACAAUAUAAGCAAUUACAGUAACUAGAGUUCAAGAGAUUUACUUUAUAUCUACCUUGUGUGUUCCAAUGAUGAUAAACUAAAUACUAAAAUGUUUAGAGAUAUUGUAUUGAAUUAUAUAAGUUUUCAGUGAGCUACAUAAUCACGUGAAGUAAAAAGAAAGAACUAAAAGUGCUCACAUGCACGGUUUACUCUAGAUUAAACUCUUAAACAAUAACCAAUUAUUUCUCUUAAUAUGGUAUAUAUAUUAUUGUUUUAUAGAAUCCACAAGAAUUGAUACUAGAAUUAAUACUCCAAAUAUAAAGUGCAAAAAAAAAAAAAAAGUGCACUAAUUUCUAUAAAUAAAAUCGUGCGAAGUUGAGGGAUCCACGCAUUUUUUUUCAACGAUUCUAUACAUAAUUGUAAAAGAUGAGAGGAGAAAGAAGACUUUCUAGUUCUUUGAAUUAUUGCAUAUCACAAGAAGAAACUAGUAUGGCUAUCUUAAUAGUUUAUACAUUUGCUUGGCUUGCAGCCUCUGUCCAACAAAUAAAGUAUACCAACAAAAGUCAAAUUAAGCUGACAACAUGACAAACCAACUAUCAAAAUGGGUAACUCUAGCCUUUUACCUACAUUUAUAUGAAAUUCUUGAUAAGGGUAAUUGUCUAAAUGAAAGCUAUAUAAAGGGGAUUUGAGUGAAGCUUAAGAGGACAACAAACUUUUCUUUGUUUCAAAUAUGGGGAAAAUGGCCUCUCUAUUUCCCACUCUUUUAGUUGUUUUAGUGUCACUUAGCUUAGCUUCCGAAAGCUCCGCAAAUUAUCAAUACUCAUCUCCUUCACCACCAAAGAAGCCAUACCAUCCGUCACCUACACCUUAUCAUCCAACACCUAUUUACAAAUCAUCACCGCCACCAACUCCAGUUUACAAGUCACCACCACCACCCAAGAAGCCCUACUACCCUCCACAUACCCCAGUUUACAAGUCGCCACCUCCUCCAUCCACACCGGUUUACAAGUCGCCGCCACCACCGAAGAAGCCAUACUACCCUCCACACACUCCAGUUUAUAAGUCUCCACCACCACCAACUCCCGUUUACAAGUCACCUUCACCACCAGAGAAGUCAUAUCAUCCUGCACCAGUAUAUAAGUCUCUACCACCUCCAACUCCAAUUUACAAAUCACCACCACCACCAGUGAAGCCAUACCAUCCUACACCAGUAUACAAGUCUCCACCACCACCAACUCCAGUUUACAAGUCACCACCACCACCAGUGAAGCCAUACCACCCUGCUCCAGUAUACAAGUCUCCACCACCACCAACUCCAGUUUACAAGUCACCACCACCACCGGUGAAGCCAUAUCACCCUUCUCCAGUAUACAAGUCUCCACCACUACCAACUCCAAUUUACAAGUCACCACCACCGGUAAAGCCAUACCACCCUGCACCAGUAUACAAGUCUCCACCACCACCAACUCCCAUUUACAAGUCACCACCACCACCAGUGAAGCCAUACCAUCCUGCACCAGUAUACAAAUCUCCACCACCACCAACUCCCAUUUACAAGUCACCACCACCACCAGUGAAACCAUAUCAUCCUGCACCAGUACACAAAUCUCCACCACCACCAACUCCCAUUUACAAGUCACCACCACCACCGGUGAAGCCAUACCAUCCUUCACCAACA